UCUCCUCCUUCUUCACCUGAGAAGUCUUCAUCGUCAGCAUCAUCGUCUUCCGGCUCAUCAGCAUCUCCAUCAUCUUCAUCAUCGUCCUCUGUGUCGCUGCCGUCUUUGUUCUCAGGUUCUGCUGCUUUGUUCUUCUUAUGGAGCUCGUCGAAUGGAAACCUGAAAACGACAAUCAUAAUUUGGUGUUUGCAACAUGAAAUUUCCGGUUCUGAACGCUAUUAAUAUAGAGAGGAUAACGAUAAGUACCUCUUAUCGGUGCCUAUCAACUCUUGCAAGGCAUCAGCAUCCUUGAGCAUGAUUCCAGCCUGAAGCAUAACUGACUUUAAUAAGGAAACGAUUAUGAGAGAACACGAGGAACAAGAAGUUUCUAGGCCGUCAUUGUAAAGAUCGAUCAAAAGCACGAUGAAAAGUUGGGCAACUAAACUGAAUAAGCAUAAUCGACUUCUGCAUCAAGUGCUAUUUAACAAUUUCUUGCAUCCAUAUAUGAAAAAUUAAGUUAGCUACGGGCACAAAAGACGAGAAAGGUUACUCAGACAAGAACCGUUUGAACGGGAAAACCAUAACAGUUUCAUGAUAACCAUAGAUGAAUUAUUCUCAAUGUGUUUUCCUCGACCUCAAAGCUUUAAAUUAUUAAGUCCGCAAUUGACUGCUCAAAGAUGCAUCUAACGGAAAGGUUAAAACUAAUGCAGAUAUAAAAGGCACCAAGAGAAACUACUGGUCAGUGAUUACCAAUAACACGUCCAACGAGAGGAAUAAGAUGUUUAAACAACUACAGAACCAGAAAAUAAGAGAAUCCGAAACAACAAACUUACAAACCUACAAUACAUUAAGUUAGCAGCUUGGAGAACAAUUAACAACACUUCAACGAGAAAUAUAAUGCAACAACACGGAGGUGGUGGGUACACAGUCUUACCCCUACCUUGCGAAGGUAGGGAGGCUGUUUCUGAUAGACCCUCCGCUCAAGUAAAGCAUAUCAAAGCGAAGAAGCCAUGCUGAAAACAACAAAACAAGAAAUCAAACGCAGCAUAGAAAAUUUCCAGCUUUUACCCCCAUAAUCAAGAAUCGAUGAAAUUUGACACAAACUGUUCAAACAAUUCCACAGUCGCGAAAACCAAGCAAUAAAUCCAAAACCCUUUCAAGAAAAAAAGACUAUCAAGUUGGAAGAAGGUUGUGUUAUACUACAAUGAGCAAGAAAAAAAAGGCUCUUCAUUCCGCAAUUACUUCAAAAGAACAUAACUUAUUAACAAAAAAUACUUAAAGUUAGCAUAUUGGAGAACAAUUAGCAUUUAAACAAAGAAACCCAAUCCAGCACGGAAAAUUUGCUAGCUUCAACAACCCCAUAAGCAAGAAGCAAUGAAAUUUGACACAAUAACACCUUCUGCAGGUCGGAUGGAGGGGGUGGGGUGGGGGGGUCUCAACAAAAGAGCUGUUCAAACAACUACAAAGGCAACAAACAGGGCACGAAAUACAGACCCCACAAAUAAGAAUCACAGCUUUUUCAAGAAAAUUAACAGCGUAAGUUGAGCGAUCGUGUAUCAUACCAUAAAGAGUAAGGAAGCCAAAGAAAAAAGGAAACAAACAAAGCUCUUCACUCCACAAAGACUUCAAAAGAGCAUAACUUAUUAACAUACGACACCCAACGUUAGCAGCUUUGAGAACAAAGACUAACAUACAACACCAACAACGCACUUGAGGUCUAGGGAGGGUAGUGUGUACGCUAAUCUUACUCCUACUUCCGAUAGACACUCCUUUCAAGUAAAGGACAAAGACUAACAUUUAAACAAGAAACCCAAUGAGGCACAGUAAAUUUCCCAGCUUUACCUACCCUAUAAGCAAGUUUCAACGAAAUUUGACGUGAAAACUGUUCAAACAACUACAGAGGCUUAAACAUAGCAAGAAGUCCAAAAACCACCAUUAAAAAUCACAACUUUUUCAAGAAAAUAAACAAAGCUCUUCACUCCACAAUUAUUCAAAAGACUGUAUCUUAAAAGACAGAAAAGUAGCUAGCAUUUAAACAAGAAACCUACUGAAGUACAAAAAAAUUGAGCUUUAUAACUACCCCAUAAGCAAGAAUCAGUGAACAACAACAACAACAUGCAAGAAUCAAUGAAAUUUGACACAAGAUCUGUUCAAACAACUAUAAAAGCAAAAGAAAAACAUUGCGUGUUGCACCACAAUAAGCAAGGAAGCUAUUCAAACAACAAAUAAAAGCAACAAACAGAGAAAGAAUUCAAACCCCACAAUUAAUCACAUCUUUUUCAAGGAAAUAAACAGAGCUCUUCACUCUACAAUUUCUUCAAAAGGACACAACAUAUUAACAUACCAUACCUAAAUUUAGUAGCUUGGAAAACAAAUACUAACAUACAACAACAACUAAGCAAGAAUUAAUGAAACUUGACACAAGAACUGUUCAAACAACUUUAAAAAAACAAAACAAAUCAAGAAAUCCAAAACCCACAACUAAAAAUCACAACUUUUUCAAGAAAACAAUAAGUUUGUAAGUUAAAAAGAGAGUAUAUAUAUACUACAGUGAGCAAAGAAGCAACAGAUCUCUGAGAAGCCAAAAGGGUCUCAGUAACUACAACUUCACGAACAGACCCCACCACCAUUCUUCCAAUGAACAACAACAACAUAACCAGUGUAAUACCACCAUAAAGCAUAGUCCGUGGAGGAUAGAGUGUAAGCAGACAAUACCUCUAUCUCCGAUUAAUGGAAGUACAUGAAACAACAAAUAGUAACAAAAACAACAGAUAGUAGCAAGACAAUACUACAACAAAAUAAUGCUAAUCAAACUACAGAUAGCAAUAGAAUCCAAGAACUACAAGAGUAAUACUACCACUACUAGUUAAAAAAAGAGCAAGAAGUCCAAACCCCCCAACUAAAAAUCACAACUUUUUCAAGAAAAUAAUAAGCAAGAAUCAAUGAAAUUUGGCACAAGAACUUCUCAAACAACUAAAUAAGUAUAAAACAAAGCAAGAAAGCCAAACCCCACAAUUAAAAAUCACAUCUUUUUCAAGAAGACAACAAGUAUACCACAAUGAGCAAGGAAGCAAAAGAUCUCUGAGCAGCCAAAAGGGUCUCAGUAACUACAACACAUCUAACAUAGUGAGGUCUGGGGAGGGUAGAGUGCACGCAGACCAUACCCCUACCUAGGUUGUUUCCGAUAGACCCUCGGUUCAAGACAAACACAGUAGCAGAAGAACAAGAAACAUCAGACAGUAACAACAACUCUAAUCGAACUACACAAAACAACAGAUAGUAACAGAAAUCCAACAAACAAGAAUAAUACUACCACCACUACUAGUUAAAACAGAGCAAGAAAUCCAAACCCCACAACUAAGAAUCACAACUAAGAAACUACAAGAAUAAUACUACUACCACUACUAGUUAAAACAAAGCAAGAAAUCCAAACCCCACAACUAAGAAUCACAACUAAGAAACUACAAGAAUACUACUACUAGCUAAAACAAAGCAAGAAAUCCAAACCCCACAAUUAACAAUCAAAACUAAGAAACUACUAGAAUAAUACUACUACCACUACUAGUUAAAAAAAAAGCAAGAAAUCCAAACCCCACAACUAAGAAUAACAACUAAGAAACUACAAUACUACUACUACUACCACUACUAGUUAAAACAAAACAAGAAAUCCACACACCACAACUAAGAAACUACAAGAAUACUACUACGACUACUACUACUAGUUAAAACAAAGCAAGAAACCCAAACCCAACAACUAAGAAACUAUAAGAAUACUACUACUACUACUACUACUACUACUACUACUAGUUAAAACAAAGCAACAAAUCCAAACCCCACAACUAAGAAACUACAAGAACACUACUACUACUAUCACUGAUAGUUAAAACAAAGCAAGAAAUCCAAACCCCACAAUUAAGAAUCACAACUAAGAAACUACAAGAAUAAUACCACUACCACUGCUAGCUAAAACAAAGCAAAAAAUCUAUACACCACAAAUAAAAAUCAAAACUUUCUCAAGAAACAGAUAUUAUACCACAAUGAGCAAAGAAGCAACAGAUCUCUGAACAGCCAAAAGGGUCUCAGUAACUACAACUUCAACAACAGACCCCAUCACCAUUCUUCCAAAAACAGCUACGUCACACCUCAAAUUACUCACCUCCAUUUUUUUUUUUAACAAAAAUAGCCAAAAAGAAAAUUUUACUCAAAAAAACAGAGAGUUCAAGAAAACCCAAAAAUCAAAACUUUAUGGAAAAAGGGAGUGGGGGUGGGGGUGCGUGGGGGGGGGGGUUGGGUUGGAUUUGACUGUCCAAAAAGGGGAUUUUGAAAACAAAAAGGAAAGGGGAAUUAGGGUUUUUGUACUAUUGAAGAAUUUUAAGGUGUUUUUAGGGUUUUGGGGGUGUGAAUUUGAUAUUUGUCAUUUUGUUGGGGUAAAGUGUAAAUUUAUAAAGUUUGUGAACUGACAAGAUGGGAUCUAAUUUUGGAAGUUCAAAGGCUUUUUAUUGGCGAAAAAAAUAACAUAUACCUUAGUUUAUCAUAUUUACGUAAGUUAUAAAUUUUCAAUCUUAUAAAGUAAUUAUAAAAAUUUUAAUUAAUUAUCUAUCUCCAUUAAAAAUAUGAAAGUUAAUUAUGUAUCUCGACAAAUUUAAAAUAAUAAAAAAAUAUCAAAAGUUAAUUAUGUAUUUUUAUAAAAGAAUAAAUUAUAUCUUUUUUUAAUAUAUCAGAAGCUAAUUAUAUAUCUCGACAGACUAAUAAUUGAGAUUUUUAAUAAUUAUGCAAAAUAUAAAAAUUUUCUGUAAUUAAACUUCAAACUGUCGGAAUUUAUAUUGUUUGCCCUAAUAUAUAUAAGCACGCAUUUUAACUUCGAUAAUUAUGUUUAAACUUUGAGUAUGUACAAAUAGACGUUUAAAUUUAUAUCAAACUGAGCAAGUAGACAUGUGCAUCUUAUGUGGCAUCUUAAAUAGUGUCAUACGUGUAUUAUGUCAUAUAGCAUGCGUUUGUCUACUUAUUCAACUUUAUACAUAUUUAAGUCGUUGACAGCAUUUGGCAGAAAUGCAAGAUAAAACCGUAUACAAUACAUUCUUGUGGUGAGUCCUUUCCUAGACCUUGUAUAUUGCGAAAAUUUUAGUGCAUCGGGCUAUCUCUUUUUAAGUGUCUGUUUGCGUACACUCAAAAUUUAAAAAUAUAAAAAUUAUUGAGGUCAAGUUAAAUAACACAUUUAGGUAUUAUAUGCCCUUUUUAUUAGUAUAUCAUAAUUAGAAGUCUUUUUUUUCCUUUUGGUAGAUAUGUAAGGAAAGACAGCUUAUAACAGAUUUUUGUGAUUCGAUUCUUUUCUGAAUUCCUUACGCAACGAAAGAUUGUUAUUUUUUAAAGUUUGUAUUAUUAUUAUGCUAUACACAUUUUGAUUAUUUAACAAAUAUCCUCUAUAGAUAAUAUCCUUAUCCUUUGUGUAUCAUUGCAGUCUUUUUGAUCAUGAUUAGGUUGACACAACAUGUUACACACAAUGAUGACACAUUUAAAGAAAAAAACAAAAAAUACAGUACUAGGUAUUAAAAUCCCAACAAUAUUUACACAUGACUAGGCAAAUUCCACUCUUCUAAACAAACAUUUGACACGUGGCAGACACCCACAAGCUUUCUUGAUUUUCUACCUCUCAAGAACAAAUAUUUUUGGUUACAUGUUUCACUGAAAACAAAUUAAGAAAAAAAAAACUUCUUUUAGAGCAUUCCCUCUUUUUAAGGUUUUUGUUUUUUUCUCUUUUUUCAUUUGGUGCAUUUUGUUUUUAAUUAGAAAAACAUAAUUUGGUUUAUGUGUUUUGUUAUGUGUGUGUGUUUGAAUUUUGGUAUUGAAACAACAAAAAAAACACUUAGGUUUUUUUUCAUGCAUAUAUGUCUAGUUUUGGCUUCGUUCCUGAUCGGAGGUGAUAAAUAUUUUAUAGAUUUAGAUUUUAGUCGAGGUGUACGAAAGAUGACCAAGACAUCAUAGUUAUAAUAAAAAAUAAUUGAUUAUGAUGAAGAUAUUUUUUGUGGGGGGAGAAGAACAUUUUUGUUUUUAUGAUGCAAUUGUCUUUUCUUGUUGUUGUGCAUCUCCCCAUAAUUAAACUUCUAUAUGAUAUGAACAAAUUAUUUUGGUAGAAUGAAUUGUUGUGUUAUAGUUUUUGUAAAUAUGUUUUGUGUGGAUUUAGAUUUUAGUAUUGUAUAGAAUAAUUUUUUUUUGCCGACUUUAAAUUUUUUUAUUUUGCUCUUAAUAAUGACAUGUUGUUGUAGCAUAGAAGUUGUCGUGACACGUUUAAGACCACAAAUUAUAUGCUUCGUAGUCGAUAAUUUGGAGGUUAACCAUGCAAAUGAUUGCUUGUGUAUAUAAUAUAAUGAUACAUUUCUAUGUUGGAAAACUUUUUCAUACUUCAAAUUUUCUAUUUUACUCUUAAUAAUGACAUGUUGAAGCAUAGAAAUAUCAUGACAUGUUUAAGAUCAUAAGUUUUGUGCCUCAACAAAGGAGUAAAGCAUCUGGUACCCCUGAACUAUGACCUAAUUUGCUACGAUACAAUCCAACUUUGCGGAAGUCCUAUUACCUCCUAACAGGGGCGGAGCUACCGUUUGUCGAGGUUUCAUCCAAACUCCCUUCGACGCAAAAUUAUGCUAUAUAUGCAUGGUGAAAAUUAUUUUUUAUGUAUAAAUGUCAGAACCCUUCGGUUAGUUCGUAUGUUCGCUUAUGAACCCUUAGUGAAUAUUCUGGCUCCGCCAUUACCCUCGAACUCAAUUUUAGCAUAUUUUUGUCACUUUUUUUUGCUGACAUGACGCCUUUUGUCAUUCUUUUUAGCCGACGUGACACCUUUGAUGUGACAUCUUUGACGUGGAUCUCAUUUUAUGUAAUAAAGAUGUCACGUCAGCACAAAAGGGUGACAAAAAUACGCUAAAAUUGAAUUAGGGGUACCGGAACCCUGUGAAGUUGGAGUGCGUCGCAGCAACUUUGACCAUAGUUCGAGGGGUACUGGGUGCUUAUCUCUCAACAAAGAAUUAAAACUGCAAAUUUGCUAAGUAAGUUUGUACUUUUCUUGAAAGUUGAUCGAUAUCAGACUUGUUACGAAGAAUUACAUUGUCAGUGCAUCGAUAUCAAACUUUACUUGAUAAUGCAAAAGUUUAUGAUUCAUUGUCAGUGCAUAGAGCUUAAAUUCGUAUAAGAAAUUUGACGUGGUACAUGUAUUGCUGAUUUCUUUUCAGGCUUUAAGUGCCUAUCGAUAACUACAUCAUGUGUCAUUGUCAGUGCAUAGAGCUUAAUCUCGUAUAAGAAAUUUGACGUGGUACAUGUAUUGUUGAUUUCUUUUCAGGCUUUAAGUGCCUAUCGAUAUCUACAUCAUGUGUCAUUGUCAGUGCAUAGAGCUUAAAAUCUUAUAAGAAAUUUGACGUGGUACAUGUAUUGCUGAUUUCUUUCCAGGCUUUAAGUGCCUACCGAUAACUACAUCAUGUGUGGGGGUGCUCGUUUCUUGAAUGACCGGUUGUACCGCGGUCUAUUAGCAUUGUCAUAGCGUAGACUAAGGCGUAAUUGGCGUAUAAUGGGGGGUGCUUGUUCAUUAAAGAGAGACCCCCAUGAUGAUGACAACAUCAUUAGAAGAGGUUUCUCAAGUAGACACUUCAAAUUUGCGAAGUCGAGUUGUUUAGAGUCUUUCCUUCUUGGGCGUGGCGUGGAUUGUACUCCGGGAAGAAGCAAUUGUCCAUCCCUCAUGGAAUUAUGCGUUCAUAGAAUACGUAAGGUGAUUGAUUUUUUCUUAUAUGUUAUCUGUCAUGAGCUGGUGGUCUAUCGAAAACAGCCUCUCUACUUCACAUGAGGUAGUGGUAUGGACUGCGUACACUUUACCCACCCCAGACCCCACUUUGUAGGAAUACACUGGACAUGCUGUUGUUGUUGCAUGUUUCAUUUAGCAGAGGCGGAUUCAGAAUUUAAACUUGAUGAGUAAACAUUUAGUCUAUGUUAUUCAGAAUUUGACACGAUGUAACGACAAAUUUGGAGUGUCUGAGCAACAUAAGGUUAAUGUUCGUAAUACUGAAUGUAACAUUGUACUUUUGAUCUAAGUUGCUCGGACUCUUCAAAAAUAUCUAUGGGUGCGUGUCGGAUGCUCCAAAAAUAGUGUAUUUUUGAAGGAUCCGAUACUGGAACGACAAUAUUUUUGGAGAGUCCGAGCAGCUUAGCUUUUGAUAUUAUGAGUUUAAACACUAUUAUAUGUUGAAAUUCUAGUGGAUUUUCACAUAUAUAUUCAUGUUACAUGUCGAAAAUACUGUGUUCAGUUGAACUCAUUUUGUAUAGGCUGCAUUUGCCUCUACCGUUGAUUUUAUCGAGUUCUUUUGGUCUAUGUUGCUCAGAGUACUCUCUCAAAAUGUUGUCACACCCGCGUCAGAUCCUCCGAAAAUGCACUACUUUCGGAGUAUCCGACAAGCACUCGCGACAUUUUUGAAGAGUCGAAGCAAUAUAGAGAUCUUAUGCUGUCUUCGAUUGACAGGAUCUUGACAAAUAUCAUUCAUUCUCGAUGUUACCAAGUGAUAUAAGCCAGUUGAUAUUCAACAAUCUGGUCUAUUCAAAUCGCCUUUCGGAGGACAACAUCGAAGCUUUUAGAGAUUGUGCACUGCACGUAAAAUCCCCCAACUCACAUCGAUAUAUAGCAGAUCUUAUAGGACUAUUUGUUCUGAUUUUUCUUUUUUUCGUUGACAGGAUAUUUGGACGGGCGAAUAUAAUGAAGUUAAAGAUAAUUGGAUGGAUGUUUUUUCUUCACAAGGAUCGUCUUUACUAUCUGUAUAUAUUUUUGGUUCAGAGGUCACAGAUUUCGGAUUCAGUCUGUUGAAAAAUUGCCCGAACCUCCAACUGUUAUCUUUCGAUUGCUGUGACCGUGUUUCUGAACAGGCGAUAAAGCAAGUCAGUGGUAGUUAUUACUAUUCUCUCUCGCAAUAAAUUAUAGUUAUUCGCAAACCAGUUCUCGUAAAGAAAAAGUGUGUUAUAUGAAGAAAAGAAAAUGUUGUUCUCUCUGUUGCACCAUAUUUAUUGUUUUCUUGAGCGUAUACAGUCACACAUCUCUAUAACAAGUUAAAAACCAUUUCAAUAUAAUAACGAUGUUUCAUGUUCUGCUUUAUUAUAUGUUCUCGACAACAAUAUUUUGCUGUAGUAGAAAGACAAACGAACAACAUUGUUAUAUAGAGAUUUGACUGUAUAUGCUUUGAAGAAUGCAUGAGAUAGACAUUAUAGAAUCGUGCGUGUUGGCAUUAUCUUUCUGUGAUUCGAUCGCUGUUUAAGGUGAUGAAGAUCGUUAUAUUUUGUGUAUCAGGUUUCUCGAAUUUGACAUAUUUGAGUUUUAGAAAAUGUGUUUCGGUUACUGCUGAAGCGAUGCAAGCUUUAUCGGGCUUAGAUAAGUUGGUUAAGUUGGAUUUCGAGAGGUGUCCACAGAUUCAUGGAGGAUUUGUUCAUCUUCGAGGUUGGUUAUUUCCUGACCGUUUCUCUUUAGCAGAGGCUCGUUUUUCAUGUCAUUCAUAUCUGAAAACCGAUAGUUAUCCCUUUCAUUCUUACGGUCAUAAUCCCGUGCUUCUAUGGUAAUUUUUUCACCUAGCUACGAAAAGAAUGUCUACCUAUCGUCUAGAGAUCUAAAGUUCCACAAUGAUUAAGCAUCAAGAGGCACGGGCGUAUCUAGAAGAUGGCAUAGCGUUCUCAUGAAUACAAUAGCUUUUGCCAAAUAUCUAUAAACGUUUGAAUGUGAACCCAAAUAUUAUAGUAGUAUUAACUUGAAGUCGAUAUAGGAACCAGAGGCGGAUUCAUGAUUUGAAGUUUACACUUGCUUUCGUUGACAUUUUUUUGCUUUUAACUGGUAAAGUUGCUUCCAUGUGACCGGGAGGUCACGGGUUCAAGACUUGGAAACAGCCUCUGGCAUAAAUGCAAGGUAAGGCUGCGUAUUACAAUACACCCUUGUGGUGGGGCCCCGGACCCUACGCAUAGCGGGAGCUUUAGUUCACCGGGCUGCCCUUUUAAUCUUGAUGAAGCUCGUUGACAUCAUACUGCUUAAAAUAAAGUGUGUUCUUCUUGUUUCAGGUUUGUCGAAGCUCCAAUCUCUCAGUAUAAAAUGUUGUCAAUGCAUUAUGGAUUCAGACAUGGAGCCUCUGGCAGGUAUCGAUGGUGAACAUGCUUUAGUAUCAUCGCUCGAGUCCCCUUGACGUGUUUGAUUUUUGUGAAAUUUGCUCAUAUUCACGCGGUGUUAUUCAGGGAUUGCGAGUUUAAAGGAACUUCAUAUUGUGUGCGUCUACAUUACAGAUUAUGGAGUGUCUUAUUUGAGAGGUACUAAUUCUAAAACGCGAGAUUAUUGUGCCAUAUAGGCUUUGAUGUACUCACUCCGUUUCAUUUUAUGAGACGGUGUUUGCCUUUUACAUGAACUUUAAGACGUUACUUUGGCUUAUUCUGAAAGAAAAUGUAUGUUUGAUAAAAAAAAUCGAGCAUCAUAUAAGGUCGAUUUUCUCCUUUUGGCCCCGGAAAUUUACCUAAUACCGUUGCCUGCUGCUUGUUUUUUCGUUUUGAAUUUUAGGUUUGAACAAACUUGCUGUACUAAAUUUGGAAGGAUCACAUGUUACUAGUUCAUGUUUGGAUACUAUCUCAGGUUUGCACUAUUCGAGAAGUACCGUAUUUUUAGAAAGUUAAAGAUGUAAGUGCAUUUCCGAUCCCAUCGUUGAUAGAAUCUACAUUGCUCGGACUCUUCAAAAAUAUCAUCAGAUAAGGUGUCAAAUGUAUUACCUAGUGCAUGUCUGAUCCUCCAAAACUCCAAACGUAGUACAUUUUUGGAGGAUCUGACAUGGGUGCAACAACAUUUUUGGAGAGUUCGAGCAAUGUAGGAUAAAAGUUACUAUAUGAUAUCUGUUUUUUCGACAAGGCAUCAGCAAUGUUUUGUUAAUAGUAGUGUAUCUUAAGGGAACUUGUUUUUUAUUUGACAGAGCUUCCUUCGCUGCAAUCGUUGAAUCUCAAUAGAUGUCGUCUGAGAGAUGAUGGAUGUGAAAAGUUUUCGGGUAACUGAUAGAUAUUAUUACUUCCAAUAUGAGCUGAUUAGAGCGACUAAACGUAACAUCUAUAGCCAACUGUUGUACAUAACCGUGCAGCGCUCAGCGAUUUGAAGGUGUUGAAUUUGGGAUUUAACCACAUUACAGAUGAAUGUUUGAGACAUUUGAAAGGUCUCGUCUUAUCCUCUUUGAUUACAUCGAAAGCUUUAGAUUUACUAGAUUAAUCUUUGUUUACGCUUCCCUUCAAAAUUGGCGCGACUGAUUUUUUCAGACUGUAGUUGUUAACGUGCUGUCAUAUGUUGGAUCGGUAUCGCAGUUCUAACAAAAUUGGAAGGUCUGAACUUGGAUUCUUGUAAGAUUACGGAUGACGGAUUGGCUCAUUUAUCUGGUAUAGAACAUCAACCUGCUAAACAUAUAUUCGUUCUCAUUGGCGUUAAGAGUAGGGUCCUGAACUCGAAUAUAUUCCUGAUUAUUCUGUCUAUCCUACUGGAAUUUAGUCGAGUCACUUGAGUUCUGUUUACAUCGUUGAGAUAGUUUCCGAGGUUAAUAGGUCGUCCACGUUAGAUGAAAGUUGCAGCCACUCAUCUGGCGGUAUAUAUGUUACUCUAUGUUGCUCGGACUUUCCAAAAGUGUUGCAGCGACCAUGUCCAAUCCCUCAAAAGAUGCACUAUUUUUGGAGAAUCUUACACGCAGUCGUAGACAUUUUUGAAGAGUCCAAGCAACAAGGGCGUAAUUAGUAUAUCUGCAUUUGCAGAACACUGUAGUUUCUAAACUUUCGUAGAAUCAAUGAAGCCUUUAAUAUAUAGACGAACUUCUUGUUUCGCGCGUUUUGUAACAGAUUUGAGUGAUUCGUUUGUUUUAGUUUUGGCGAAACUGGAGGAUCUCAACCUCAAAUUCACCUCAGUGACCGACGAUGGCUUGAAAACGUUAUCUGGAUUGAUGUGUCUAAGGUCACUUAAUCUUGAAAUUCGCCAAAUUACAGACUCUGGGCUCGCAGUUCUCACAGGUAAGCCGUAAGCCAGAAACACGCGAUCAAAUGUGAAUGUUUAGUUGAUGUUUUUUCAUCGCGUAUCAACUUCUCAGUAGCAUGUUUAGACAUAUUGUAUGAUUUCCUUACCGGCAUUUGCAUCUAGAGAUUUUUUCACGUAAUUCUUUUGGCUCGAUCGAGUACAGGUUUAACUGGUUUGACUCACCUGGAUCUCUAUGGAGCUCACAUAACAGAUACCGGGACAAAGUAUCUCACAUGUAUGUCAAACGCUAACUUACUCUUACAUAUCUUUCUUUGCCCUUCCGCGUUUCUAUAGUCCCCAGGGCCCCCUUGCUUUCCGAGUGGUGACUCUAACGUCUAGUAGUAUUCUGUAUUGCGAGAAUUCAUUAUGAAUUGACUAAAGUCUCAACUCUCUUGGAACUGAGGCUUAGCAGUAUUACUGCGAUCAACAUAAGUCUCUGUGGGGCAAUACUUGAUCUAAUCGUUUCAUUACUUGUCGACUAUGUAUACUUGCAUGUGCAUUUGGGAGCAACGCUUCUACUUCACCUUACACUCGUGUCACGAAUUCAAAUUCUAAAUGUGUAUGCCUGAUUGUUUCGUCAGGUUUCAGAAAUCUGCAAUCGCUCGACCUUUGUGGUGGCUUGUUAACGGAUUCUGGAGUCGAAAAUGUAAAGGAUCUUUCUUCCCUGAUGUUUCUGAAUCUCUCUCAGAACCGGAAUUUGACAGAUAAGACCUUGGAGCUUCUAUCAGGUUCGUAGUGUUGAACUCAUUAUACGUCGGAAAUUUUAGCGCGUUUUAACAUGUGUAUACCUAUGUUCGUCUACCUUGACAUAUAUGUAUUCAGGAGUUGAACGGGUUUGGCUAUAACCUAUCGUUUAGUCCAUUCUGACCUAACACAUUUCAGCUCAGGUAACCUUUGGGCGGAUUAGUGACCCGUGCAUUGGUUAACCUAGCCCCGGUCAAGUUUAGAUCCGCCUACUUGACUCGGUCUAAAGAUCAAUUGAAAAGCGCGUUUAGCUGAUCCAAUUCACAAAGGGGAUCGCAGUGACCAGGCCCAGGCGACUGUUUAGCAAAAACACAAGUUUCCGUAAAGUCGUAAGACCAUGUAUGGAGGCUGACGCUUGCCCAGUGCCGGAAGGUCAAGGAAGUUGGCGACCUAAUGACAGGGGAGUCGGCGACCGAAGCCAUGGUGGACGGCGGCCGUAACUAUAACGGUCCUAAGGUAGCGAAAUUCCUUGUCGGGUAAGUUUCGAUCCGCACAAAAGGUGUAAAGAUCUAGGCACUGUCUCGGAGUACUAAAAAGGGCAACCCGAUGCACUAAAGCUACCGCUAUGUGUAGUGUCCGGGGAAGGAUUCCACCACAAAGGUGUAUUGUACGCAACCUUACCUUGCAUUUCUGCCAAAGACUAUUUCCAAGGCUUAAACCCGUGACCUCCUGGUCACAUGGAAGCAACUUUACUGUCUCGGAGUAUUAUAGAUUAUAUUUAUCUCCAACCGUUUAAACUCUAAAUUCUGAAUUCGUCUCCGUAUUUUAUCUUUAUUCAUAUUUGACCUAAUUUAUUUAUUUUUCUUAAAAUGCAGGACUAAAAUUAUUGGUACAUUUAAGUGUGACAAAUUCUUGCAUAACCAAUAAUGGAUUGCAAUAUUUAAAGCCUAUGAAGAAUUUACAAUCAUUGGAUUUGGAAUAUUGCAAUGUGACAGCAUCUGAGAUUAAGAAAAUUCAAGCCAAUUUUCUUUUUAAUCUUGUGAGAUUUAGACCUAAUUAACUCUUUUUAAAGUUCAUCAUGUAACAUGUAUAGUAAAUAUGCAAAUCAAAUAUUUGAUGUGUAAAAAAUAGGCAAAAAUAAAUUAUGUUUUAUUUUAGAUAUAAGGCACUAUUUAGCCCUUUGAAUUAUAGUCAAAAUUGUUACGAUAUACCCUUGCUAUAUGGGGUUUUUACUACCUUAUAUACACAAUUUACUGUAUUACGUGGCAUUUUUUGUGCUUACAUGGCGUCAGCUCGUGUCGUAAGGUGUUGGGUUAAGUUUCGCAACAAGCGCAACCUUCGUGUUUAGUUGCCAUCGUCGAGUUUGGAAUCCUGAACAGACUGUCGGUGAUAAGUCACUUUUUACGAUAUAUCUUAAUAGCAAUUUUUUUUAGGUCACGUAAGCAUAAAAGGUGAACAAUAAUGCAGUUAAAUUGAAUUUAGGGUGAUAUUAGAACCUUCGGAAAGUUAAGGUGUGUCGUCGCAAUUUUGGCUAUAGUUUGAGGGAUAGCACAUUACAACAACAACAACAAACCCAGUGUAUUCCCACAUAAUGAGGUCUGGGGAGGGUAAGAUGUACGCAGUCCAUACCUCUACCUCUAAAGAAGUAGAAAGGUUGUUUCCGAUAGACCCCCGGCUAGAGACACGAAAUACUAAACAAAUUCAUAGUAAAGCAUGAAACAAGAUGGCAUAACAUAAAUACGACACCCACAAGUAAUAGUAAACAGAGAAAAGUAAACAGAUUCGUAAUAAAGCAUGAAAUAAGGUAUCAAAACAAGAAUAAUACCCCCACCAAGUAAUUCCCUACCGACCCAAACUGACCCUAGCCUUUUUCCCUAAUUCGCGUCUUCCAGGUCUUCCUAUCUAAGGUCAUAUCCUCAGUGAGCUGUAACUGUUCCAUGUCCCACCUAAUCACCUCUCCCCAAUACUUCUUCGCCCUACCCCUACCCCGCCUAAAACCAUCCAAAGCUAGUCUCUCACACCUACGAAUUGGGGCAUCCAUGCCCCUUCUCAUCACGUAUCCGAACCAUCUUAAUCGGACUUCCCGCAUCUUAUUCUCCACUGGAGUCACACCAACCUUCUCCCUGAUAGUCGCAUUCCGAACUCUAUCCCUCCUAUUCAGCCCACACAUCCAACGCAACAUCCGCAUUUCCGUCAUUUUUUGAAUGUAGGAGUUGUUAACUGGCCAACACUCUACUCCAUACAACAUGGCCGGAUCGAGAGAUAGCACAUUAUCUCUUCAAUUUAUAUGAUACUAUAAAAUGUGUUUGGAUAACACUUCUCUAUAUUUAACUUAUAAAUAAUUUAAUUUUAAUUUUUAAAAUUUUUAAUUAUAUAUUAAAGAAUUUCUAUAUUUAUCAUAAAAAAGUAUUUUACAUGUAUAAUGGGGGACUAUGUUAUAAAACUUGGAUUUAUUUUUUUUUUUGUUUAUAUUAUCCUUUAUCUCUUUGCAUAAAAAAACAAGGUCUCAAUCCCAAUCAAUCUUAAUCAUCAUCACAUGGGCUUGUCAACUUCUCCAUUGCAAUAUGCAAAUUUAAGUUAUUGGACUUUUGAUUUUUAAUUAUUUUGAUACUACAUGUACUAAUUAGAGUGAAAGAGGAAUUUUUAUAUAACGAUAAAAGUUAUUAUCGUGUGAUAUUUUGAUACUACAUGUACUAAUUAUAGUGAAAGAGGAAUUUUUAUAUAACGAUAAAAGUUAUUAUCGUGUGAUUAGAAGUUCAAAAUUUUUAUAUAGUCCGAAAAUUUUGAAUUAUAAUAAUACUACAAUAUAUGUAACUUUCUUAACCAACUAUCUAUUAGUUGGAUGCCAACCAUAUAUACACUAAAAGCAUCUACCAAGUGGCUUUUUUAAAAAAAAAAAUUAUUAAGUUCUUUUAAAUUUUUCUUUUAUUGUGUUUUUAUCAACUUAUACGUGUUUUGUCUAUUCAAAUAUAGCCCAGUCUAUCCAUUUGCACAUCUAGCAUUCACAUUUGCCACUACAUUAUAGUUAAUAUUGUGUACAUAACUACCUUUUGGUGAAAGAUGGCAAUUUAUACAACAAUAGAUGAUUAAAAAACGAAUAGUCCGGUGUACUAAAGCUAUCGUUAUGUGUGAUGUCCGGGGAAGGGCCCCUCACAAGAGUGUAUCGUACGCAGUCUUACCUUACCUUGCAUUUCUACCAAAGACUGUUUCCAAGGCGGCGUACUAAAACUACCGUUAUGCGUAGUAUCCGAAGAAGGGCCCCACCAUAAGAGUGUAUUAUACGCAAUCUUACCUUGCAUUUCUACCGGAAGCUGUUUCCAAAGUUUGAACCCGUGACCUCCUGAUCACAUGGCAACAACUUUACCAGUUACUCCAGGCUCCCCUUCACAACAAUAGAUGAUUGAAAUAUGAAAUAUUGAGUGUCAAUUUCAUACAAGUUCAUUCGAAUUCAAAAGUUUCGAUUUAGACUAUGUACAUAUAUAUGUUAAAAAUUUACUUUUACCGUGGGAAGAUUCACAGCCUUACACAUCAUGAGUAGCUCGAUGUUGGUGUUAAAUGUUGAAGUGCACAGGCAAAUAGACCUCUUACUAAAAUUUGAUUAUAAGCCACCAACACGAUGUUGAAUGCUGAAGUGCACAAACAAAUGGACCUCUUACUAAAAUUUUUGGUUAUAAGCCAUAAGGGCAAUGUUGCUGUUGCUGCUGAAUGCUGAGGUGCACAGGCAAGUAGACCUUUUACUAAAAUUUGGUUAUGAGCCACCAGCACCAUGUUGAUUGCUGAAGUGCACACACAAAUAGACCUCACUAAAAUUUUUGAUUAUAAGCCACAAGCACGAUGUUGCUGUUGCUGUUGAAUGCUGUUGCUGUUGAAUGCUGAAGUGCACAGGCAAGUUGACCUCUUACUAAAAUUUGGUUAUAAGGUAACAGCACGAUGUUGCUGUUGAAUGCUGAAGUGCACACGCAACGGAUCUCUUAUUAAAAUUUGGUUAUAAAGCCACCAGCACGAUGUUGCGGUUGAAUGCUGAAGUGCACAUGCAAAUAGACCACUUACUAAAAUUUGAUUAUAAGUCACUAAUCCUAUUGAGUCGCCCAUGCUUAUAUAGCUCAAAUGUAAAGCCGACUAGGUCGCCUCUGAUAAUCCUUAUACCAUCGACAUCAUUUGACUACUCCUCAAAGCACAAUGAGCUAGUAUUUUCUGAGAACUCUUAUUAAAAUUUGACUUAAAGUUUCAAGACUCAAGAGAAAGCCUGCUAGGUCGGCGCUGGAAAUCAGCACGGCGUCGCUGUUGAUGAGAGGAAGGACGAAUCAAAGCAGCUAAAGCUCUUUUAACAAGCUCACCUUCACCAUUACCAAUUCGUACUAACGAAUUCGCCAUUGCUGAUCUCCUCAUAUGCAGUCGAAUCGAAUUAGUACACACCAUUUGGGUACUGACCCUUCGAACAUCCAUUUUCUUAUGCAUACUACAACGAAACGAACCUGGAUGGUUCGUUGGCGAACACAUACAUGCCCUCUUCUUCGAGGACAGUGUUUUUUGCCGGUUCAUUGCAGAAAUGAACCGGUUUGGUGAAGGCUCCUGGUUCAGAUGGAACCGAAUUGAUGAAGCUAAAGCCGUGUCAAAGGUAUGAAGUACUGGUCCAGUUGACCGUCGAGCAGAAGUCGCCAUUUCUGUUUUAAGAAAAACAGAGAGGAGGAAGGAGUAGGAGGGGGAAGUAUAUUUGUUAGUGGUGUGUUUGGGUAUUUGAUUUGUCAAACCUAAAUUGCAUUUGAGGCAUAUAUUUAUAGCAAUGGUAGAAGUAUUAUUUUAGGUUUAAUUGCGUGGAUGGUCCUUUAGGUUCUUUAGAAUUGUAUUUAGGUCUAGAGUAAUACAUACAUCUUGUACGCCUCUGAACUAUGAUCAUAUUUGCUACGAUACAUUUCAAUUUUACGAGAAUUUUAUUAUUUUUUAAUUCAAUUUUAGUGUAAUUUUAUCAUUCUUUUAUAUUAACAUGAUAUUUUUUAUCAAUUUUUUUAAUUGACAUAACACUUUUGAUAUGUUGGUUACUUUAAUACUCGUGUUUUGUGUUGAACAAGUAUGUUUCAUGAUUAAGAAGUCUCAAACUAAGGUCUCGAAAAUUGUGACGUGACGGAGUGAUAAGUAUUGAUUUAUGUUUUAAGAUUACGUUUUUAUGAGUUGAAGUUGCGUCAUAUCUUAUUUAACCAUCCCACUUUAAUACUUUUACAGUCUAUCUCUAUCUUUCCUUACGUUCUUUAUGGCCAACUUUCUACGUCUUCUAAUCGAACACUUAUACAUUUCCUCUCUACAUAUACAUAGAUUAUUUCAGCCUCAAUUCUCGCAUUUUAUCCUCUAAGGAGCCACUCUCGCCUUGUUUCGAUAUUUUCAUUUAAUGAGUAUAAUUUUUAAUUUUGGUUUUAAGUAACACUGAUUAAUAUUGAUGUGAACUUCUAAUAAGAGGUCAUAUAGCAAAAAUAGUUUCAAAGCUAUAUCAUUGUAAAAUAAUGAUACGAACGAACUUUUCUACAACGAUAGUGGUAUAUGAGGCAAACUUUCAAAAACGAUGAUAUAGAUAAUUAAAUGACAUUUUGAGCCUUUUUCUUUCAUAGUAUAAUUACGUAUUCACUUUAUCUCUCUUUUCACCUGACAUAUUUAUGAUCAUUCGAAUAAAAAAGUAUUUUACGUAUAUUUAAUUUAAGAUGAUAGUAAUAAAUUAAACAAUGUGAGCUGCCGUUUGAAAUGCCCACUGUUAAAUAACAGAAGGCUGCCACGUUUUAAUUUAUGUAUGGUGACUCACUCCAUUUAUAUUACACGUAUUAUUGAUGUCCUAUUUAUUUAUAUUAUUUACUGUAAAAGUAGAUUCGAUUCAAAUAAAGAUAAUAAUUUACAGAAAAAGAUAUGAUGAAUAUUUAAAAAAAAAACAGGUAGUUAAAAAAUUAUAAAGUAAGGCGGUGCUCAUGUGGGAGUUAGUAUGAUGCAUGACAAUUUUUAAUUGUGUAUAAUUUUUUUUCCGUAUCUUCGUUAAAAUUCGAUUAAUUUAGAUGCACGCUAGGUAAACAUUUGAAAAAAGCGCUCCAUAUAAAAAAAAAAUUCAUGCUUAAAAUUCGAAUAUGAGACCUUUGAGUAAAGGAGCUUCAUCUACUAAAUCAUAUUCUUUUGAUGGUAAUUGUUUAUGAGUCUUUUUUACUUUUCAAUUGAUUUUUGAUAUCUGCAGUAAAAUCUGUCGAUGUUUGAUAUCUACAGACUAAGAAAUUGAGGAGCAACCUCAUCCACUACACCACGUUUUUUGAUGGUACUAAAUAGAGGUGUGUUGCACGCAUCUCGAUUAAUUUCAUGGGAUACCUGCCAUCAUCCACCUGCAAUAGGCAUCGGGUAAUUCUGAUUAAUUUGAUCAUGAUAUACUUACCACCUUCCAACAACAACAACAGAUGUUAGAUAAUUUCGACUAAUUUCAUGGUAUACCCGUCACCUUCCAUUAGCAACAGGUACCAGAUAACUCUAUCCAUCAAGACUAGAACAAAUAAAAAAACACUACCUCAGACUAAUUUUACGAGAUACCUAUUACCUCCCAUCAGCAAUACAUACUAGAUAACUCUGUCUAUAAAAGUUAAAACAGAUAAAAAAAUCACUUAGUAUUUACCUCAUGUUACUCAAUCCAACUUUAUUGAAUCACCAGACCACACCCGCAUAAAAAGGAAAAAAUUGAGGUAAAAUAUAAGCAAAUUAAAUAUUAAAUUCGUUUCAAGAUAAUGAAAUGAUAAAGAAUAAAAUUUCAUGGUUAAGAACCAAAGAAGCAUUAUCAAAGUGUGUGAUAAUAAUUUAAUAAAAUGAUCCCUAUGAAAGUGAAAAAUUAUCAUUUGAAUAACGGUUAUUAUUAUAGACUUAAUAAAAUUAAAGGCUGCCACGUUUUUAUUUAUAUGGUGACUCACUCUAUAUACAUUCCACGUAUAAUUGUUGUCCUAUCUGUUUAUAUUAUUUAUAUUACAUUACUCUAAAAGCAUAUUCGAUUCAAAAUUUAAAAAAUAUUUUAAAGAAGAUACGAUGAAUAUUAUUUUGAAAAAGAAAGUUAGAAAAAUCAUAAAGUACGGCGGUGUUCAUGUGGCUAGUUAGUGUGGUGAUUAGCUUAUAAAAUAUCCAAAAUUGAAUUACUAAAUCAAAUUAAAAAAUUUAACAAUUAAUAUUCAAUAAUUCGAUAUUAGAUUUUGAUAUAAAAUAUUAAUAUUAUUUGGGCGCGCGCGCACACACACACACACACACAUAUAUAUAUAUAUAUAUAUAUAUAUAUAUAAACCAACUCAAUAGAAAAUAGUAUUAGUCAUCCCAAAGAAUUUCUUGGACCUUGGUAAUAUAUUCGUAAAAAAUAACAAAAAGAAAACUAAAUAAAGUUUCUAUUAAAUAUACUUUUUGAAGUUUAAACGUAUAUUUACACAUCUCCAAUUUUAAUAUGGUAUUACCAAAUACCGUACCAAAUCGAAGUUUAAUUUAUCAGUUAUCAAAUUACCGAAUCGAUGUUUAUAAGUAUGGUAUGUGGUAUCAAUGUUCAAAUACCAAUUAUCGAAUUCAAACUUUGAAAAUUUCGAACCGAAUAUUGAACGCUCACCUAGUGGUGAUUGUCCAUUUUUUUAAUUAAUAAAAAAAAUUAUGAAAUAUAAGUGCCCAAAUUAAUAAUUUUAGUAAAAUAAAAGAUUUUUGUGAUUGAAUAAACUAAAAAAAGAGAUUCUUAUUAGGUAACAUGAAAGUCUUCCAUCUUACACAAAAAGCACUAAACUUUUUCCUUUUUUAAUUUUUUUUCCUAAACUUUUUUUUUUUUUUGUAUUAAUCUUAUUAAACCAAAUCCACUUUAGUUUAAAAUAUUCAUGAAAGUGAAUUAUUACUUUAUAAAGACCCAAAGAAUAUGAUCCACUUGUUAAGAGGUCCUAUGUUUAAUGAAUGUGAAAGUAGAAAAAUAUAAAUUAAAUACAUACAACUAUUUGAAAACUAUGUAUGUAUAUUAAUUAAUAUUAUCUUCACAUGGUGGGGAAUCCAUAGUUUUGAACUUCAAUUGGUCCCAUACAAAAUAAUUACUAAUUAAAAAAAAAAAUUAUCAUCAAGUAACUGAAAAAGAUUCUUCAAUCAACUAUAUCAAUUCAUAUUAUAUGCAAAUUCUUUUAUUUAUUUUUUUUCUUAACAAUGGUUUUGUAUUAUUUUUUUUCUUUGUAUAUUGUAAAGAGAAAAGGCACAAUACGUAAAUAAACACUUAAACUUAACUUCAACUGACAAGUAAAUAAUCCAAUUUUAAGAGUGCACGUCUAAACGCUUGAAUUUGAUUUUAACUGACAAUUAAACACUGCAACUUGUCCUUUGUCCUCAAAAUGUCUCGUGAGUUUUUGCAUUGACGAAACACAUAAAUUUUGAAGGUAUUUAGAUAAUCAUUUUGUAAGUUAGAAUGUUCAACUGACACAUUAUAGACAAGUUGCUAUGUCUAAAUGUGCACGCUCAAAGUUAGUAGUUACUUGUUGAUCAGGUGAGACCACAUCGACCAUAAUGAAAAAAAGAAUUUGCAUUUCUGUCAGAGACUAUUUUUCAAAGCUUGAACCCGUGACCUCCUGGUCACAUGGCAGCGACUUUACCGGUUACUACAAGGCUCUCCUUUGUUGACACCUAAUUUUUGCUCUCCACAACCUAAUUUAAUUUCGAGUUUCUUCAAUUUUAAAAUAAAAUGACGACAAUUAUUUUAUUCAAAUAAAUACAAUUUAAAAUAUGAGAGUGUAUAAAUUUUGUUAUGUAAAUGGAUAUUUUUAUUUAAAAUUAGACUGCUAUUGAUUAAAUUUGAAAAUUAAUUCGAAUGGAUAAAGUCUGGAUUUUAAAUAUAAUUUGUUCUUGAAAUAUUUUAUUUGGAGGAAUAUUUAUUGGAUUUUUAUCAAAUUAAGAAACUCGAGGUUAAUUUUUUACUUGAUUCGUGCCAGAUUGCGAUUCAAUUUAGCGAACGAAUUAAAUAUGACCUCAAUUGAAAUCCAAUUGGUCCAAUUAUAAUGCAAUUGACCAAUAGAUAUUCAAUUUGGUUAGAAUUUAAAUAAGUCGUUUACAUUGUAAUACAAUCUUAAUCCCAAAAGUUAUUAUUUCUUAAUUUGAAUUAUUUUAAUCCGAUUAAAUUUAAUUUGAGUUAUUCUUAAUCCAAUUAAAUUUAAUUCUGAUUAGUCUAAUCUAAUUAAAUUUAAUUAGGGCUAUUUAAUAACCCAAUUAAAUUUAAUAGGGACUAUUAAAUAACCCCAAUUUAAGGCCCAACUUCUCCAACCCACUCCAACCAAGACCUCAACCCGGCCCAUUUUCUUUCCUCAACUUCAACAAGCCACAACAGCUUCAAAUCAACAAUACCAACUCCAAAAAUUCGAACUGGACCACCUCGAAGCCGACCAGCUCCGACCCGUCGACACCAAACAACCCGCAUCAACCCGAUUCCUCGCUUUCUCAACCCAAUUCCUCAGCAGUCGCGACCCAAACCCUUAUCCCACGCGUCCCAUGCGAGCCGGUACGAGAAGAGCCUAGAAUCUUCUGGAAAAGUGAUGCGUUGGCCCCCCUUUAACGUUCGAAUCCCGAAUUUCUCGGGUUGUUUUGUACGAUUUCUUACAUAUUUGGGCGUUUUGUAUUGGUUGAGAGGAAUAUUGAUUGGUCCACCCAUCUAGGAUUCUCUGAAGAAAUCCGAAUUGGGUACAAUUUCUUAUCUGUAAAUUGGCUCCAAGGUUUGGAAUUUCAAAAGAGAGGGGGACCCCAACUCAGCCUUCUAUAUAAAGACCUCAGGGUCAUUGUUUAAAGGGAACUUCUUCUUUUUUUUUAGGGGUUGAGGCUUGGAGGUUAGAAAUUCUGAGGGUUCGAAAUUGAAAAAUAAAAAAUAAAAAAUUGGGAGGAUUUUUUUUCUUUCUUUUUGGGUCACUGUUUUAGGGUCGGGAAAUUUUGGGGAUUUUUAUUUUCUUUCAGCGUUUGAAACUUGAGGAAGAAUUCUUGGGUAGGAAAAUUCGUUGAAAGGCUAGGAGGUUCGAAAAUCUCGUUCGGUGGUGAUCGGAAUGCUAUCAUCAACUCGCCGCCUCGUUUUGAUGCUCCCAAACAGGUAACUUUCUUUCCAUUCAGUUCUUAAAUGUUUCAGCUUUAUCUCGCAAUUAUAUGGCGACAAUUGAUGUUUUGGUGUGCUGAGAUGUUCACUGUUUCCUUUACGAUUUUCUAAAUACAUUCAUUUCCUGUUGGUUGGUAAGUUGCUAUAGCUAAAAGAAAAUGCAUUCCCUUUGCAUGUUCAAGUUAGUUUUCCUCCCUAGUGUAGGUACUGUUAGAGUAUGAGGCAUUAAAAUAUUUUUCCCUCAUCUUACCUGUGUCAUGAUUGGUUUGAUGAUGGAUGUUAAAUUUGUGCUUUGAUGAACGUUGCGCAGUUAUUUGACCCUCUCUCUGGAGAUGCUAUUAUUCAUACUCUGUUGAUACUCAAUUGCUCAGAAUGGUUAUUAUAGAAUGAUGUAAAUUUUAUGUCUUUAUCGAGUGAUUUUCUGCAAAAGAAGUUUCGUUAUGGAAAUGCUCUUAUCUUUCUUUUGAUAGAAAUAAUACAGGAUCUUAGUUUCCAUAAAGCUGACUGUUUCCAUCGUUGAUUAGCUUUCUUUUUUUUGGGUCCCAACUUUAAGGCAGUGAAUUGAUUUGCUUCAUAUAUUCGUUGAAUAAUCUGGUUUAGCUAUUUUCUGAAAAUUUGGUACCAUACGUGAUCAAAAGUAGCGGAGACUUGGUCAAUUAAGCUCCUUAACAUUGCUUUGAAAUAAUGUGGAGAUUGUAGUGUGUGGAUUUAUUUGUGUGAGUGUUAUGAUUGAUACAUUCUUUAACUAAUUGACUCGAUUGCAAGCCAUACUUUUUAUAAUCUGGAGAUUGAUGUAUUUAGACAUUUUUUACACUCCACAUGUUUAUAGGUAGCAAGUAAAUCACUGUUUUCCUUUGCCUAAAAUGUUGUAUUUUUUUUGUUGAAUAAUUUAUCUAUAAGUGUAAAAACUCUUGAGAACAUACAUUGAUCCACUUAACCUUUUUUCUUUGCAUGAACUCGCUUGGGAGUCCCAUCGGACUUUCAUAUUAUGAAUCGGGCCAUUGAGGCCUACCCCUUUAGAAGACUUUGAACGCUGAUUAUAAAGUACAAGUAAGAGGAGUCGAAAGAAGAAGGAGGGGUUGAAAUCCCACAUUCGAAGCGGCUAAGAGACAAAAGUCUCAUUUGUUAUUUUAUUUUAUUUUUGUUGUCCUUGUUUAUUUUAUUCACUUAUUUAUUCAUUCAUCUCGGCCUCGAAGUCAAAGUUGUAUUUAAUAUAGGUGGAGCGGAUUUGAGCCACAAAGGCUUGAAAAUUAGACUAGGACAGGUGAAAUGGAUCAAAAGCCCAAUUAGACUAGGACUGGUCUUAUUAGUUUGGGCUCAAUGACCUAAAUCCCUCACUUACUCCCCUUUCCCCUGUUCUUUAUGCUUGUUCGUUUUAUGUGCUUUGUGAACCUAGUUAAUUUCUUAGUCAAGUCGCUAAAAAACUAGUUUUGCCUAAACACCGAAAAUAUUUCUAAAUUGCUUUCUUUCAAUUUUUUUUUCUUUUUUUCAAAGUUAAUCAAAGACGAUUUUCAAACAGUUUGGAUAACAGCAAGUUAGCGGAUGUUUUAGGUGUCUUAACACCUUUCUAACUUAAACGAUUUUUCUGUUUUGAAUCGUUUGAAGUAACUUUAUAAAAGUUUUUCAACUCUUUUUCAAAAUUAAGUGGUGAUUCUUUCAAAAAGUUAAAAUUUCUCUUCAUUAAUUGUAUGUUGCUCUGACCCUUCAAAAUUGCCGCUGGAUGCUUCCAAUCCUCCAAAGUUGAGGAUCUAACACGUGUGCAACAACAUUUCUGGAGAAACGGACGGGAAUAAAAAGGCAUAAUAUAUGAAUAGACACUGAAAUUUGGUCUCAGUUAGCACGUAAGUGAUCCAAAAUUGAGGAUCCAACAUGAGUGUAACAAUUUUUUUGGAAAGUCGGAGCAAUAGGAGAAGGGAAUACAAACAUCUUCAAACUUUCUUAGCCAACUUGUGCAUAAAUUUUCUAUAGCUUUGGACCAUGAGUCUAGUAAGCCGGUAACGCGUGGCAAAGGGAAGAAGACGACCACCUAAUUUUUCUUUAACGAUAGCAGUGUUUGGACUAGCUUGUGUGUACCUCGAAUAUGCCAAGGUACCAGCUAAGUCAAAGUUGUACUUCCCUAUAAGUAUACAGUAAAUCACAAGUAAGAGGUUUCAGAAGCUCCUAUACUACAUCACUCAAGACUCUUUAAAAGUAUCUACGUGUGUCAGGUCUGAUCGUCCAAAAGUAGUGCAAUUUUGAAGGAUUUGACACGGGUGAAGCAACGUUUUUUCAAAAUGAAUUUGCAAUAGGUGAAAAUGCAAUGGAACAAUGAAGACUAAAGGAAAAACUAGAAGAAAAUUACUUGUAGGCUAAGAAAAAGAGAAGUUAAAUUAAGCUAAAGGAAUUUUUCAUUCAUAUCCUUUUCUGAAACAUCUAGUACUAUUAAUAGGCCUGACAAAGCACCAUCUUUGACACAUAGUACUAAUUACAACUGAGCCGUUUAGGGAUUAAAAAGAAAUACAUAACAAGCCAAGAGGACUAAAUUGUAAACUCUCUUUCUACUUCUAACUAACUCCUUCUUCAGUCGUUGAGAAUUGCAACAUUUCUCCCUCCAUAAAAUUUUCCUUGUCCUCAAGGUAAAAAUGUUGGAAACCUUGUUUUCAUUUUGGAAAAAUCUUCCCAGGUUGCUUGUUCUGGUGGCAUAUCUUUCCAUUGAAUCAGAAGCUGAGAUAUUACCUUGUUGCCCCUCUUUAUCAUUCUUCUUUCCAGUAUCUUAGCAGGCUCACUACAUUAAGGGCUAGCAAUAUUCACUAUAGGAGGGUGGUUGAUAGAGUCAGGGAUCACAUAGCAAGGUUUAAGCUAGGAAACAUGGAAUGUAGAAUGUAUUGCCACUUGUUCAGGAAGUGACAACUUGUAAGAAACUUUUCCCACCUUCUGUAGCACCUGAUAUGGCACAUAAUACUUUGCCGAGAGUUUGUUGAAAGCCUGGUUAGACAAGGAAACCUGUCUAAAAGGUUGAAUUUUUAGACACACCCAAUCACCUUCUUGAAACUGCCUGUCACUCCUGUGCUUGUUGGCCAUAUCAGUCAUUCUCUGUUGUGCUCUAGCAAGAUGAAACCUCAGCAGCUGGAUUUUGAACUCCCUAGUGAUCAACCUCCUAUCUACUUCUUCAUCUACAGCUUCACCGGGCAUAUAAGGUAAGUGUAAAGGGGGUUGUUACCCAUAUAGAGCCUCAUAGGGUGUCACGACCCGAACCGGGGUCCUGGCCGUGACGAGCAUCCCGAACUAUGAAGGCCCGAAACACCCCUGUCUAUCUGGUAAUCAUGCACAUAAUUCAUAUAAUAAAAAAAUGCGAAAGAUGCACAAUAUUAUGAAAACAUGGUCAUAAGUCUAAUAAAAUCAAUAAUGGGAAAUAAAGUCCCACAACAUCUAUGAACAUCUGAGAUCCGUCUGCAAAAUCUCUACUACAUGACUAAUAGCAACAGUCUGAAAUCUGGGACAAGGCCCCCAGUAGACCAAUACAUGACUAGAGAUAAAUAUCUGAAAGUAAACAUGCUUUUUGGAAUAUAAAAGGCUCACCACUGCACAAUCUGAUCUGCGAUCUGAAAUAUCUACUAAUCAUCUGGACCCCUAGACUGAGUCUCAAAACCUGGAAGGAAGGGGGGGUCAGCACAAAAGUACUGGCACGCGAAGCAAUCCAAAAUAAAGUAAUUGAAUAUAUAUAUAUAUAUAAUACAUGAGAGCAAUUUUCAUCAAAACAUCAUGCAUAAAACAGUUUCUGAAAAACAUAUAUAUAUAUAUAUAUAUAUAUAUAUAUAUAAUACGUGAGAGCAAUUUUCAUCAAAAUAUCAUGCAUAAAACAGUUUCUGAAAAACACAUGGGCACCUUCUGAAAACAUGUAACCUGUCUGUAAAUUUCAAAUUCUGAUUUGUGUAUUACUUCUGAGUUAGGUGGUAUCCCCUACACACCUGAUAUUCCACGGGCGAUAUGGAAUCCGCCAUUGACUCAGCGGGGAAGCCUCCAACUCGAGUGUGCCGCAAGGGUUGGAGUCCCUAAAUCUGAUACACCACACGACACUUAAGUAGCGUAUAAUAAUAUACCCAGGCCGGCAAACCACAGUUUUGGGCAAAGAGUUGUCUGAACUCAUGCCUUCUUCGGGGAACCACCUAAGCUCUCUUUAUGCCCUAUUUUAGGCUUUUCUGAACAUGCAUCAUUCUGAAGUUCUAAAACAUGUAAAUCUGAUAAAGUCUGAUUUCUGUAUUCGUCUGAGUCUGUUAUGGCAUUUUCUGAGUUUGGUAUCGUCAUACUAAGACUUGUAAGUCCUAUUUCUGAGCCAUAAUGCAUUAAGCAUGAUCUUUCAUAAAAUAUAGUUUCAGACCACCCAAACAUGUAAUUUGCAUAAAAGAUUUCGUGUUCCGAAACUCAAGUCAAAACUGUGCAAAAACUUCAUCAAACAUAUGGUGGUCUAGUACCUUUAGCAAAACAUGCACUCUUUCAUUACACGCAUUAUGAACAUUAAGCAUUCAUGCUAAAUUUCCUCUUUAGUGAUUUAAAACCACCUUUAAAUCAUAACAAGAGUUCAACCAUUUCAUAUAGUGCUUUUCAAGAAUGCAUUGCAAAACAAUUCAUAUGCUAUGAAAAAUCUGAAAAUUCAUAAUAAGAGAGAAUUCACCAAAAGUCAUGCUCUCAAUAAGAAUUCAUUCUUAAAUUCAUGUUUUAAUACAUACAUAUUCUCAAAUCACUUUGGGGAAGGUCAAAAGACCAAAACAAUGACGUUAAAACAUCUAAUACAUGAAUAUAUAUAUAGUUUUGAAAACCCCAUUCUAAAACAUGAUUUUUCUAAGCCCAUUAGAAUUUAAGAAAACCCCGCAUACCUCUAUAUGCGAAGAUGAUAGGUGCUUCUUGAAGCUUACGUUCUGGGGAUUCCAAAUAUGCAAUUAGUUUCAAAAACCCACGGUUGAAUCUUGAGUUGCUUGGGUUUUUAUUUUGAAACCCUAAGGAGAGUUCUUGAGUAAUUUUGAUGAAUGAAGGUGGGGUCUUUGGGAACUGAAUUUCGUAUUUAUGGCUAAAUAAGGGUGGGAAAAGGACCAUUUUCCCCCCAAAAUGGAGUGUUUAAGUCACUUGAAACCUUUACAUAGGCGCCGCCUAGGCUAUCACCUAUGUUUACAUAGGCGCCGCCUAGGCUAUCGCCUAUGUUUACAUAGCCGCCGCCUAUACUAUCGCCUAUGUUUUUCAGUGGCCAUGUGCGAUUGGUUAGGCGACGCAUACUACUUUGAAAGGCCAUAACUUCUUGCUCGGGUGUCGGAUUUUAGCAAAAUUGGCAUCGUUGGAAAGUUAACUCGAAGACCUAUCAUUUGACAUAUAGUUGGCUCUCUAAUUCGAUAUAUACAAAGAGUCAUGGUCGAUAGAAGUUGAAAUAAAUUAUAAUGUCCACUUAAACUUAAUCGAUCGAAGUAGUUUUCAACUCGUCCUUGAGUUUAAGGACCUCUAUGGUCUAAAUUCAUGCUCAAAUGGAUUCACAUACUACAUAAAUUUGCCAAAUUAGCAUAGGACUUAAGGCUCUGGGAUUAUCAACGCAUCAGAGUCAUUGGUUUUAUUUUAGCCCAAAAUGCGGGAUGUUACAUUAUCUCCCCCUUGGGAUCAUUCGUCCUCGAAUGAUGGGUAGGAACAUAUUGAAGAUUAGAGGUAUGGAAUAACGCGGACAUGACAUGUCCUCUAAUAAAGAAUACACUGAUCUGAAACAUGACCAUAUGGCUGGAACUACUGAAUGUUCUGAUUCUUAUACCGGACAUGCAUAUCUGAUGCAUGUAAUACACGACUGAAGCUACUCAUAAGCUGAAUUCUCAUAAUGAACAUGCAUUUCUAAUGCAUGCAUAUCUGACUGAACUGAUGUAUGAACGUAUAACUGAAUAUGCAGUGAUAACUGAUGCAAAACUUGUAAUAAGAAUCUAUGCUUACAACUGAAUGGGGUAUCUCCCCCUUAGGACACUAUGUGCCUCUAUGAAUGCUCAAUUCACUAGGAUACUCGAAAAACUGAGACGAUGCACAAGGAACUUACGAAUUGAAUCAUAACUGAACAUCUGGAAUUUGAAUUUAAUGCAUGAUGCAUGAACUGGGCUAUACUCGCAACUACUGGUAUACUCUAUCUUGGAAUAGUAUCAUGUCUGAGAUCUUGGAUAGCAUGAAUAAAUGAAAAGACGAGAAAACAAGUCAUGUGAAUCUGACUGCUAAACUGACUUACUGACUUACUGGCUAUACAGACUGAAUUAGGCUGGACCCUCAUGCUUAACUAUAGUAUCUCAUCAACGCUCUCUCUAAGGGAGUUCUAAUAGUAAUAGGGAGCCACGAAUCUUGGGUAUGGAUUACACAAGACAUCCAACUGAGGAAAUCACAACAUUGACACUACUCUGCAGUAUGGAAUAUAGACAUAUAACUCCUAAAUUAGGAUAAAAUUACCAGGCCUUUGGCAUUACAACUUCUUACUUUCAAGCUUAGCACACUUCUCGAAUAUCACUUAACUAUACUAUUCUCCUUAAAUAUCAUAUUCAUUCAACUCAGCUUAAAAUUCUCAUCUGAGCAUUGACAAAUCUUUCUACUAAUGUCGGAAAUAACUUAAUCCCUUCACCGUGAUCAAGCCUAAAUAUAAGUUACAAAAAUACAACAUGCCAGACCACGCUAUUAUUUUAAACCAUAUGAUGCCACCUUCUAUACCUCUUUAAAGAUCACAUUCUAAGCAUAACAUGCCUUACCACUUCAAUGACUACUNNNNNNNNNNNNNNNNNNNNNNNNNNNNNNNNNNNNNNNNNNNNNNNNNNNNNNNNNNNNNNNNNNNNNNNNNNNNNNNNNNNNNNNNNNNNNNNNNNNNNNNNNNNNNNNNNNNNNNNNNNNNNNNNNNNNNNNNNNNNNNNNNNNNNNNNNNNNNNNNNNNNNNNNNNNNNNNNNNNNNNNNNNNNNNNNNNNNNNNNNNNNNNNNNNNNNNNNNNNNNNNNNNNNNNNNNNNNNNNNNNNNNNNNNNNNNNNNNNNNNNNNNNNNNNNNNNNNNNNNNNNNNNNNNNNNNNNNNNNNNNNNNNNNNNNNNNNNNNNNNNNNNNNNNNNNNNNNNNNNNNNNNNNNNNNNNNNNNNNNNNNNNNNNNNNNNNNNNNNNNNNNNNNNNNNNNNNNNNNNNNNNNNNNNNNNNNNNNNNNNNNNNNNNNNNNNNNNNNNNNNNNNNNNNNNNNNNNNNNNNNNNNNNNNNNNNNNNNNNNNNNNNNNNNNNNNNNNNNNNNNNNNNNNNNNNNNNNNNNNNNNNNNNNNNNNNNNNNNNNNNNNNNNNNNNNNNNNNNNNNNNNNNNNNNNNNNNNNNNNNNNNNNNAUACUUAUGGCCUUAUCUAAACAAGCAUACUAUGAUCUUCCAUCAAUAAGAACAUUUACAUCAUCACCACUAUCAUUGCAUAGGAAGGAUCACUAAAAGGUUAAAACAUAAGACCCUGAAGCAUGAAAAGAUUUCUAUACGGGACUAAGCACACUAUAAAGAGUGAGUACAUGCAUCAUGAGUUGCAUAACCUCAACUAGAGUUCAUAACAUAAGGAAUGUGAUUCCGACUACUUGAAUGAACUAGAACUCAUUAUCUUGGAACUGGAAGAGUACGCGACUCUCUAUCAUAUACAGGAAUCAUGAACUAUGAUCACAGAACUGAAUCGUAAGGCAUGAGUAAGCAUUCGGAUAACUGAAAAAAAAAACCGAGGUAGGAAUGGGUUGAGAUUCACCCUCACUUUUUGAUGUUCUAAAUCAUACUGCAUCACUACUAGAAUCUGAGAGCCUUACUUGGUCAUUCGUUCUAUCAUCUCCCCCUUAGCUUCAAGUCAUCAUCUAGAGUUUGGGAGAUCCUUUACCAGAUUCUAACUGAACUACACUUACUGCACUCUAGGGUCUAAAAACAAUGACAAUGCAUGCAUAUCAUAGAACUUAACCCGAAUGACUACCUUUCGGGAUACACUCUAUCUUUCCUAGCCACCAAUAGUCAUAGUAUAAUGCUUGCACACUUAUUUCUAUCGGUUCAACCUUCAAAAGUCAAGCUUAGAUGCUAACACUUAACAUGACUAUCACCAAGCCUUUGAUGUACCAUAUCUCUUUCGACAUAGCCUACCACCAUUGCGACUCCAAAUUUAUAUCCCCCUACUGUGAGAAUCAAGAUCAUCGCAAAAGGCCCAACACUAUCAAUCAAAACACCUUAACAUGACUAUUUAGAUCGCCAUAUACCAUCUAACUAGUCUUUAUCCACUCAACAAUUCAAUGGUACCACUAGCCACGGCAACAAGUAAUAGGCUUAGAAAGAAUGCCGCAACCUCAUGUCACCUUAGGCAUAAUUCUACAUCACACAUACAAUAUCAUACAUGACUACGAAUCAAAUAAAAUUAAUCUAUUACAUGCACCGUUCAAGCCUAUUAGAUCACUUCUAUACAACUAGAAUUCAUUUACCAAGAAAUCUUCACAUCUACCUUCAUGGACAUCAACUAUUCAAACUUAAUAUCUAGUGCUAUGCAUGAUUUACAACCCAACCUUACACAAAAUUUUCACUUGGAAACUAUAAAUAAACAUCACGAAACACUAGUGCACUAGAACUUCAUAACCACAAUAAUCGAUCAUGACCUAACGNNNNNNNNNNNNNNNNNNNNNNNNNNNNNNNNNNNNNNNNNNNNNNNNNNNNNNNNNNNNNNNNNNNNNNNNNNNNNNNNNNNNNNNNNNNNNNNNNNNNNNNNNNNNNNNNNNNNNNNNNNNNNNNNNNNNNNNNNNNNNNNNNNNNNNNNNNNNNNNNNNNNNNNNNNNNNNNNNNNNNNNNNNNNNNNNNNNNNNNNNNNNNNNNNNNNNNNNNNNNNNNNNNNNNNNNNNNNNNNNNNNNNNNNNNNNNNNNNNNNNNNNNNNNNNNNNNNNNNNNNNNNNNNNNNNNNNNNNNNNNNNNNNNNNNNNNNNNNNNNNNNNNNNNNNNNNNNNNNNNNNNNNNNNNNNNNNNNNNNNNNNNNNNNNNNNNNNNNNNNNNNNNNNNNNNNNNNNNNNNNNNNNNNNNNNNNNNNNNNNNNNNNNNNNNNNNNNNNNNNNNNNNNNNNNNNNNNNNNNNNNNNNNNNNNNNNNNNNNNNNNNNNNNNUAACACUUUCUCAUAUCACAAUUACUUACCCAAGCGUACAUUUACACUACCUUCAAAUUCCUCAAACAACCACGAGUCUAUAAUCAUAACUUACUCGCUAAUAUAGCCAUUUUCACACUUAAGCAACCAACAAAUCACCCUGACCAACAACUCCUUCUCUACCUUCUACUAAUAACACACAAGGAAGAAUUACUUCAUUACCAACUUUAUCUCAUGCAAAAAGAUUCAUCUAUACAUAUAUUCAACCAACACAAGAACAACUCGUUAAACGAAAAUUGCUAGUGAAUCGAAAUAGGCCUCACAGGGCUUCACUAGACUUUGAUCUUUUUUUUAACAAGAAAAUGGGAUGAAUGACAAGUCAACUAUGCUAGUGAAUCGAAAGAGCCCCACACGACUUCACUAGACUUUUUAGUUUCAUCAACACAAUGAUAAAAUAUUUUCAAGAGAUAGAAACUUGUCACACAAUAUUCCAUAAUCUGAGAAUACACAUCUUACUUUGUAUAGAUAAAAAUUUGAGUCAAAUAUUUCCCCCACAGAUUAUCAUACAAUCCACACACGCUACUAGCUACCAAUAAGACAUGACACUGACAAUUUAACUUAUACUACUAUUUGGGUGGAAAUACAAUUCCAACACUUCUACUACACAUCUUUUCCCUUAAGCAUGACAUUUGCAACAUAAAUUUUUGAAAAGGGCCAAAUAUACUCAAUACAGAAGACUGAAAAGCACGAUUUUGUCAAGAUCAAGGUUCACACUAGAACCCAUAAACUCUGAAGCAAUAACGGACUUUUCUCAAGUCCUUGCACAAAUCUUAUAUGAUUCGAUCAGAACGAACCAUACUAUUUAGACUCUAAACUUCUGUACUUGAAUCGGCCCAAUGAUGAGACAUGUCUGAGAAUGUCUGAGUAAGGAAAGAAUUGAGAUGACUGUUACUUUCGUAUGGGGGACACUAUAGCACGAAUUUGAGAAUGCAAGAGGAACAUUCUGACUCUAUUGCACAAACUAGAACAUGAAGAAAGAGAGACAUUCCUAAACGCCUAGUAGCCUCCUGCUUAUAAGUGUGGUGCGCUACAUCCCCAUAAAUAAGACUCUACCCGACGCGAUUUCGCAGACACCCUGGGACCAUGAACCAUGCUUUGAUACCAACUUUAUCACGACCCGAACCGGGGCCCUAGCUGUGAUGAGCAUCCCAAACCAUGAAGGCCCGAAACACCCCUAGUAAUCAUGCACAUAAUUCAUAUGAUAAAAAAAUGCGGAAGAUACACAAUAUUAUGAAAACAUGGUCAUAAGUCUAAUAAAAUCUAUAAUGGGAAAUAAAGUCCCACAACAUCUAUCAACAUCUGAAAUUCGUCUGCAAAAUCUCUACUACAUGACUAAUAGCAACAGUCUGAAAUCUGGGACAAGGCCCCCAGUAGACCAAAACAUGACUAGAGAUAAAUAUCUGAAAGUAAAAAAGCCUUCUGGAAUAUAGAAGGCUCACCACUGCACAAUCUAAUCUGCGAUCUGAAAUCUCUACUAAUCAUCUAGACCCCUAGAUUGAGUCUCAAAACCUAAAAGGAGGGGGGGGGGGUCAGCACAAAAGUACUGGCACGCAAAGCAAUCCAAAAUUCUGAGUUAGGUGGUAUCCCCUACAAACCUGAUAUUUCACGGGUGAUAUGGAAUCCGCCAUUGAUUCGGCGGGGAAGCCUCCAACCCGAGUGUGCCGCAAGGGUUAGAGUUCCUAAAUCUGAUACGCCAUACGACACUUAAGUCAGUUUAUAAUAAUAUACCCGGGCCGGCAAACCACGGUUUUGGGCAAAGAGUUGUCUGAACUCAAGCCUUCUUCGGGGAACCACCUAAGCUCUCUUUAUGCCCUAUUUUAGCCUUUUCUAAACAGGCAUUAUUCUGAAGUUCUAAUACAUACAAAUCUGAUAAAGUCUGAUUUCUGUAUUCGUCUAUGUCUAUUAUGGCAUUUUCUGAGUUUGGUGUCAUCAUACCAAUACUUGCAAUAAGUCCUAUUUCUGAGCCAUAAUGCAUUAAGCAUGAUCUUUCAUAAAAUAUAGUUUCAGACCACCCAAACAUAUAAUUUGCAUAAAAGAUUUCAUGUUCCAAAACUCAAGUCAAAACCGUGCAAAAACUUCAUCAAACAUAUGGUGGUCUAGUGCCUUUAGCAAAACAUGCACUCUUUCAUUACACGCAUUGUGAACAUUAAACAUUUAUGCUAAAUUUCCUCUUUAGUGAUUUAAAACCACUUUUAAAUCAUAACAAGAGUUCAAUCAUUUCAUAUAGUGCUUUUCAAGAAUGCAUUGCAAAAUAAUUCAUAUGCUAUGAAAAAUCUGAAAAUUCAUAAUAAGAUGGAAUUCACCAAAAGUCAUGCNNNNNNNNNNNNNNNNNNNNNNNNNNNNNNNNNNNNNNNNNNNNNNNNNNNNNNNNNNNNNNNNNNNNNNNNNNNNNNNNNNNNNNNNNNNNNNNNNNNNNNNNNNNNNNNNNNNNNNNNNNNNNNNNNNNNNNNNNNNNNNNNNNNNNNNNNNNNNNNNNNNNNNNNNNNNNNNNNNNNNNNNNNNNNNNNNNNNNNNNNNNNNNNNNNNNNNNNNNNNNNNNNNNNNNNNNNNNNNNNNNNNNNNNNNNNNNNNNNNNNNNNNNNNNNNNNNNNNNNNNNNNNNNNNNNNNNNNNNNNNNNNNNNNNNNNNNNNNNNNNUGCAAUUAGUUUCAAAAACCCACGGUUGAAUCUUGAGUUGCUUGGGUUUUUAUUUUAAAACCCUAAGGAGAGUUCUUGAGCAAUUUUGAUGAAUGAAGGUGUAUUUUGGGGUCUUUGGGAACUGAAUUUCGUGUUUAUGGCUAAAUAAGGGUGGGAAAAGGACCAUUUUGACCCAAAAAUAGAGUGUUUAAGUCACUUGAAACCUUUACAUAGGUGCCGCCUAAGCUAACGCCUAUGCUAUCGCCUAUGUUUUUCAGUGGCCAUGUGCGAUUGGUUAGGCAAUGCAUACUACUUUGAAAGGCCAUAACCUCUUGCUCGGGUGUCGGAUUUUAGCAAAAUUGGUAUCGUUGGAAAGUUAACUCGAAGAACUAUCAUUUGACACAUAGUUGGCUCUCUAAUUCGACAUAUACAAAGAGUCAUAGUCGAUAAAAGUUGACACAAAUUAUAUUGUCCACUUAAACUUAAUCUAUCGAAGUAGUUUUCAACUCGUCCUUGAGUUGAAGGACCUCUAUGGUCUAAAUUCAUGCUCAAAUGGAUUCACAUACUACAUAAAUAUGCCAAAUUGGCAUAGGAUUUAAGGCUCUGGGAUUAUCAACGCAUCAGAGUCAUGGUUUUUAUUCUAGCCCAAAAUGCGGGGUGUUACAUAGGGACUAGUCUGGAUAGCUGAAUGGAAGGUGGUAUCGUACCACCAUUUUGCUAGAGGUAAGUACAUAUUCCAAUCCUUUUGGCUAUUAGCACAAAAACACCUCAAGUAAGUCUCAAGAGUCCUAUUAACUACCUCUGUUUGUCCAUCAAAUUGAGGGUGGUAUGCUGAUGAAGUACUCAAUUCAACACCUUGAAUAGUGAAUAAUUCUUGCCAGAACCUGCUGAGAAAAAUAGGAUUUCUGUCACUUACCACAUUUUCAGGCUGGCCAUGUAGCUUAAACACCUGAUCCAUGAAUAACUGGGCCACUGUUGAAGCUGUGUAGGGGUGAGUUAAUGCCAAAAAAUGAGCAUAUUUUGUCAUUCUAUCUACUAUCACCAGAAUGGUAGUCUUUCCUUGUGACUUAGGCAAACCUUCAACAAAAUCCAUACUUAUGAUGGACCAGGCUAUAUAGGGAAUUUACAAGGGUUUUAAUAGCCCUGGAAGAGCUUAAUUAUCACUUUUGCUCCUCUGAUAGGUUGCACAUUUCCUGAUAUAGACCACCACAUCUUCUUUGAGACCCUUCCAGCAAAACAACCCUGCUAGCUUCCUAUAAAUGUUAUCCAUUCCAGAGUGGCCCCCCAUAGUUGAAUCAUGCCAGAGUUUAAUCAAGUCUUAUCUCAGCUGAGCGUCACUUCCUAUCAUUAGUUUACUAUGCUUCCUUAAUUGUUGCUGAAUAUAGGAGUACCCCUUGUAUUGUCCAGUGUGAUUUUGUAUUUUCUCAAUCAAAGCAGCCAAUUCUUUAUCUUACUCCAACUCUCUUGGAUCCUAUGGAAUAAAUUAGCAUCAACAGGUGUUAGAGCCAACAAGAAUACCUCAGUCAUAGGUAGUCUUAACAAGGCAUCCGCUGCCUUGUUCUCUUUUCCUUUCUUGUACUCAAUCUCAAAAUCAUAUUGCAUGAGCUUUGCCACCCAUUUCAUUUGAAGGCCAGUGUGCAACUUCUAAUCCAAAAAGUAUUUGAGAGCCCUUUGAUCAGUUCUCACCACAAAGAACCUACCCAUGAGAUACUGUGACCAUUUGGUAAUAGCCAUGACUAGAGCUAAGAGCUCCUUGUCAUAUACUGAGAGAGUCAAAUGUUUCCCUGAUAACCAUUUACUAAUGAAAGCUAUUGGGUGGCCCUCUUGCAUUAAUACAGCACCAACCCCCAAUUCACAUGCAUCUGUCUCCACAAUAAACUGCAGAGAACUAACAGACAUUGCUAAAACUGGAGCAAAAGUGAGGGCCAAUUUAAGGUCUUCAAAAGCCUUGGUAGCUUUUCAUGUCCAUUGGAACCCAUCUUUGUUGAGCAAAUCAGUUAAAGGCUUGCUUAUAAUUCCAUAGUGUCUGAUAAACCUUCUAUAAUAACCAGCUAGGCCUAAAACCCCCCCUCAAUUCUUUGAUGCUCUUGGGAGUUGGCCAUUGCUGCACCACCACUAUCUUCUUAGAGUCAGUUUCCACUCCAUCAGCUAAGAUAAAAUGGCCUAAGUACUCUAUCUUGCUAGCUCUAAAAAUACACUUGUUCUUUCUGGCUACCAUGUUAUGUUGCGGUAACAACUCAAAGGUAAUCCUUAAGUGCCUCAAAUGAUCUUCCAGGCUGUCGUUGAACACUAAUAUGUCAUCAAAAAAUAUCAAGAUAAACUUCCUAAGGUGAUUCUUAAAGGUAUGGUUCAUCAAGCUUUGAAAACUAGAGGGGGCAUUUGUGAGUCCAAAGGACAUCACUAGAUACUCAUAGUGACCAGAAUGGGUUUUGAAUGCAGUCUUGGGUACAUCAUCACUGGCCAUCCUUAUUUGAUGAUAACCUGACCUUAGGUCAAUUUUAGAAUAUAUGCUAGACCCUCUAAGCUCUUCUAACAACUCUUCAAUGAUAGGGAUUGAAAAUUUAUCCUUCACGGUAGCCUUGUUUAGUGAUCUAUAAUCAACACAUAAUCUCCAUGACCCAUCUUUCUUCCCCACUAAGACUACUGGAGAUGCAUAUGGUCUAUAACUUGUUUGAAUAAUUCCUUGGUCCAAUAAUUCUUGCACUAGCUUCUCAAUUUUGUCCUUCUGCUUGGAAGAAUACUUGUAGGGCUGAGAUUUACUCGAUGACUGUUGUUUACCAAGGGAAUUUUGUGAUCAAAAGAUCCCCUGGUAGGUGGUAAUCCUUUUGGAUCAGCAAAAAGUUAGUUAUACUCCCUAAUCAACUUCACCAUCUUCACUGGUGUCUCACUGUCAUUCAUUACUUCCUCUAUAUUGGGUGAGACCUUUAUCAUGAAUAACUGAGCUCCAUUAUCAACAAAUUUGUCCAAUUUCUUGGACUCAACUAUCUUGGUCUUUUCCCUAAUACCUGUCAAAGUGCAUUCCCUGCCUUGAUAUUGGAACUUCAUAGUAAGAGUCUAAAAGUUCAUGAACAAGUCACCUAGGGGUUUGAUCCAUUGCACCCCCAAAAUGAUGUCACAUGAACCUAAGGGAAUGAGAAUGAAGUUGUCCUCAAAAGAGGUACCCCCCAUCAGCCAGUUGAACCUCUUACAUGCCUCCACCAUUUGCCUAAUCCCUCCAUCAUCAAUAUUAAUCAGCUGUGGGCUAACAGUCUGACUUACAAUGCCUCAUUUCUUGAUUAACUCUUCUUUCAUAAAAUUAUGUGUGCUACCUGGAUCAAUGAGGAUGUUGAGUGGACCAUGAUCAUUAUAACCUAUCACCCUCAUGGUUUGGUAACCAGUUACUCCUUGGAGAGCUUGCAAGGAUAUUUCACAAACCUCCUUUUCUGCUUUUAAUUCCUCCCCUGGUUCAGGUUCUGGGUCCUUGCAAUCAUCCACCACCACUACCUUAUAUUCUUCAUCUACCUCCAAUAAAUGGAGCCUGUUGGAUGCCACACAAUUGUGACCAGGUACGAACUUUUCAUCACAGAAAAAACAUAAGCCCUUCUGUCUUUUCUCACUUAUUUCAGCCUAAGUCAACCUCCUACUUCUCUCUCUAUUAAAACUGACAGUUGGUUUCUUUUUUUGAACCCAUAAUUCUGGCAGGAGCAAUACUAUGACCCUCUUUUUGAAAUGAACCCCCACCACUAGUCAUGUGAUUCAUUGAUACUCUCACCUGAGCUUGCAACUGGGAUUCAAUAUUUCUAGCCAACUGAUAUGCCUGAAGUAGUGUGAAUGGCCUAUGACUCUUCAUAGAAAACCCAAUCUCUGGUUUCAAACCAGUGAUGAACCCACUGAUGGUAUGUUCAGGCAAAAUAGUUAAUCUUGCCAUAAUCUUAUCGAAUUCUUUCAUACAUUCCUUCACAGUGCCAUGUUGCUUUACCAACUUAAACUCUGCCAUGGGAUCCUCGUAUUCACCCCCAAAUCUGUCCAUUAACGCAUAUAUAUACUCCUCCCAGGUUGAAAAUAGAAGGUGUAGCCUACUCUUAAGAUAAGACAGGUGUCAUUCUAUGGAUAUGUCAUCAAAAUACAGAGCAGCUACUCGAACCUUCUGCACUACAGGGGUGUCAUCAUAUGCAAAGAACUGGUCAUCCUUAUACAUCCAGGUUCGAAGGUUAGUAUUAUCAAAGUGAGGGAACUCUACCUUAGUUAGACGAGUCAUGGAUCCAUUAUGGUGGCUAGAUGAAGGUAGAUUUGUAGCAUGAUGAAAUCCUCCUCCUCCUUGCCCUGUGGAAGGUAUUUGGCCUGCGGUAGUGAAAAAUGGCUGACCUCUGCUGUAACCUUGUUACUGGUAGUGUUCACCUGCUGGAGUUUGAAAUUGUUGGGAAUUUUGAGUACCAUGCUGAUAGGCAGCUGGAGAUUGAAACCCUGGUGGAUUCUCCGUAGAGACAGAGGUAACCCAUAUCAUGGGGUUUUAGAGGGAGUGUAGAUCUUGGAUCCCUCACUGAUAACAUUCCCUUUACAUCGAUCUCCUUUUUGGAUCGUGUUUAUGGACUCGCGCAAGCUGUUAAUGGCCUUCUCGUGUUGUUCCUCAAUCCGAUUCUGCCUUAGGGAAAAAUUGGCCAUCUCCAUCGUCAUUUGAUCGACCAUCUCUUUAAUCUCCUUCAUCUCGUCGGACAUGAUUCCCACAGAGCUCAGGAUAGUGCUCUGAUACCAAAUGUUGCAAAAUGAAUUUGCAAUAGGUGAAAAUGCAAUGGAACAGUGAAGGCUAAAGGAAAAACUAGAAGAAAAUUACUUGUAGGCUAAGAAAAAAAGAAGUUAAAUUAAGCUAAAGGAAUUUUUCAUUCAUAUCCUUUCCUGAAACAUCUAGUACUAUUAAUAGGCCUUGGCCAAGCACCAUCUCUGACACAUAGUACUAAUUACAACUGAGCCACUUAGGGAUUAAAAAGAAAUACAUAACAAACCCAGAGGACUAAACUGUAAACUCCCUUUCUACUUCUAACUAACUCCUUCUUCAGCCGUUGAGAAUUGCAACAAAUGUAGAUCCAAUAUUAGGUGUUGAGAAGGUCCUUCACAUCGAAAUUUGAUCACAAAACUGUUAUACAAGUGUGAUAUAUAUACCUCUUUAGUUAGACCGCGAGCAAACAUAAGUUCAUAGAACUUUUACAACAACAUUUCUUCCUCAACCUACGAGUAGUAUAACGUGGAUCAAUGGGCCGGAAUUUAAUCAGACAAUAUUAUAAUGACAAUAAUAACGAUAAGUAACGCAAAUGAAGAAUGCACAAGUUUAACGUGGUUCUAUCAGUGUGACCUGAUCCAAGAUGAAUGGGCGCGAGUUCACUAUAUCAACGGGAGCUCAAAAUUAGAGUACACAAGGACAAAUAGUUUUUUGCCUAUAUAAUGAGAUAUACCUUACUUUCUAUAAAGCCAAAAGAUGACCAUACUAUCAGUGGCGAAGCCAGAAUUUUUACUAAGGAGGUUCAGAAGUAAACAUAUGAACUAGCCGAAGGAGGUUCAAUGUCAACUAUAUAUACAUAAAUGAUAAUUCUGACCAAGUAUAAAUAGUAUAGUUUUCCUAUGAACCCCCUGAGCUAAAGGUGGCUCCGCCCCUGCAUACUACAAAUCUUCACCUUGGGAAACAAAGUAUAGAGAUUCUUUUUGUUUGGCCAUUUGGUAUCGAAGAUCAUUGGACCGACCAAUUCAUAUUCACACCAUGUUGAAGGCUAUUUAGGUGGAAGCUCUCCUUAGUAGGGAAUUUCAAAUUAUCGGGGCUUGAAAAGAGCACAGGGAUCCCAUCCAACGCACCACAUCCCGCAGUGUGGUUAUUUCAUAAUUCCUCAACUUACUUUUCCUCCUAAAUCAAUAUCAAACCAACUAGUCCCCCUUUCGCCUUCGAAUGAUCAUGAUUCCCUACUAAAUCUCAGAUAUUCUCUUAUAACAGUAGUGUCGGGGCCAACUUGUGUUACCUCGACUAUUUCAAUGCCUCAAAUAUUUCUGUUCAUCUUAAUUCCCAUCUUGAUAUCUGUCAACUUUGUAAAUUCAGGGAAUUGUCUAUGUAUUCCCUAUGUUCACAUAACAAUCACUAAAAUCAAUUUUCGCGUAUUUUUGUCAUCCUUUUGCGCUGACGUGACACCUUUAUUACAUAAAAAUGAGGUCCACAUCAAAGGUUUCAUGUCAGAUAAAACGGUGUCACAUUAUCUAAAAAGGUUGACAAAAAUACGCUAAAAUUUAGUUUAGGAGGUAAUAGGGCCCCCGUGAAGUUAGAGUGUGUCGUAGCAAAUUCGGUCAUAGUUCAGGAGGUUAUUAGAUGCUUUACUCUUUUUUUAAUAUUAGAUUUUCGACAUGUAGGCUACUCGACUAAACCACAAUGAAGAUUAUGCAUUUUUACUAUACUAAAACACAAAAGGAAUUGCUAUAAGAAGAGUACAGGUUAAAGAGAAAACCUGAAAUCUGUGCAAUUCAUCUGACAUUGCUCGGACUCUUCAAAAAUGUCACCAGGUAUGUGUCGCAUCCUUCAAAAGUAGUGCGGGAGGAUCCGACACGGAUGCAACAACAUAUUUAGAGAGUCCAAGCAAAUUAGGCCAAAACCAUAGUUUCAAGUUACGGAUCCAGUAGAACCAACUCGUGCACAAGGAUCUGUUCUAUGCAGUCUUAUCCUAUAUUUCUGCCAGAGGCUGUUUCCACGAGUCAUUACCUCUUGGUCACAUGGAAAUAACUAACAAACAUAGACAACCUAUCCUAAAGUAAGCAAGUAAGAUUAAUUUCACUGCUCGAACUCGUGACCUAUGGAUAACACUGUAACUUUGAGCCAAAGCUUUUUAGGGACAGCCUGUGCACAAGGAUCUGUUGUAUGCAAUUUUAUUCAUGUCUUUGUAUUUCUGUCAGAGGCUGUUUCCACGAUCCGUUACUAGUGUCGGAGCUACCUUUGCUCUAUGGGGUUCAUCCGAACCCCUUUCGAUAAAAAAUUAUACUGUUUUUAUACUAUUUUUACAUGGUUAAAAAUAUUUUUUUAUGCAUAUUUAAUACAUGUUGAACCCCUUUCAAUUAGUUCGUAUUUUUACUUCUGAAACCCCCUUCCCCCUAAUGAAAUUCCUGGCUCCGCCACGACCUGUUACCUCUUGGUCACAUGGCAAUAACUAAUAAACAUAGGCAGUCUAUCCUAAAGCAAGCACGAUUAAUUUCACUGCUCGAACUCGUGACCUAUGAAUAGCACUAUAACUUUGAACCAAAGCUUAUCAAAGGCAGCCCGUGCAUAAGGAUCUAUUUUAUGCAAUCUUAUCCUAUAUUUCUACCAGAGGCUGUUUCCACAACCCGUUACCUCUUGGUCACAUGGCAAUAACUAACAAACAUAAACCGCGUAUCCUAAAGCAAGCAAGAUUAAUUUUACUGCUUGAACUCGUGACCUAUGGAUUACACUAUAACUUCGAGCCAAAGCUUAUUAAGGGUAGCUCGUGCACAAGGAUCUGUUCUAUGCAGUCUUAUCCUAUAUUUCUGCCAGAGGCUAUUUCCACCACCGUUACCUCUCGGUCACAUGGCAAUAACUAACAAACAUAGACAAUUUUUUUUUUGGGUGAACAUUGGAAAAAGACUUAAAUAUGCCACUGAACUAUCAGAAAUGUCUCAUUUAUGCCAUUCGUUAAAAGUUGGGCUCAUUUAUACCAUCGUCAUUACAAAACUGGCUCAUCCAUCCCAUUACUUUUUAACAACUGGUUUUUAAAAACAGCCUUGCCAUGUGACAGCUUAUUAGAGGGCCACGACAUUUUUUAUUUUAUUUUUUAUUUUUUAUUUUAAAAAAAUUAAUUUUCUUUUAAUUUUUUUUUAUCCAUUAAAAAGAAUCCACCCAAGUUUUUGAUCCAUUAAAAAUUAAUUUGAUCUAUGCUUUUAAAAUUUGAUUAAUUUUUCAUGAUCAAAAAAAUAUUUAAAGAUUUUUUUUUUUAAAUCUACUACUAAAAUUUAUAACCAAACGCUAUUCUAAUUAAGCAUAUAGUAUGUNNNNNNNNNNNNNNNNNNNNNNNNNNNNNNNNNNNNNNNNNNNNNNNNNNNNNNNNNNNNNNNNNNNNNNNNNNNNNNNNNNNNNNNNNNNNNNNNNNNNNNNNNNNNNNNNNNNNNNNNNNNNNNNNNNNNNNNNNNNNNNNNNNNNNNNNNNNNNNNNNNNNNNNNNNNNNNNNNNNNNNNNNNNNNNNNNNNNNNNNNNNNNNNNNNNNNNNNNNNNNNNNNNNNNNNNNNNNNNNNNNNNNNNNNNNNNNNNNNNNNNNNNNNNNNNNNNNNNNNNNNNNNNNNNNNNNNNNNNNNNNNNNNNNNNNNNNNNNNNNNNNNNNNNNNNNNNNNNNNNNNNNNNNNNNNNNNNNNNNNNNNNNNNNNNNNNNNNNNNNNNNNNNNNNNNNNNNNNNNNNNNNNNNNNNNNNNNNNNNNNNNNNNNNNNNNNNNNNNNNNNNNNNNNNNNNNNNNNNNNNNNNNNNNNNNNNNNNNNNNNNNNNNNNNNNNNNNNNNNNNNNNNNNNNNNNNNNNNNNNNNNNNNNNNNNNNNNNNNNNNNNNNNNNNNNNNNNNNNNNNNNNNNNNNNNNNNNNNNNNNNNNNNNNNNNNNNNNNNNNNNNNNNNNNNNNNNNNNNNNNNNNNNNNNNNNNNNNNNNNNNNNNNNNNNNNNNNNNNNNNNNNNNNNNNNNNAACGAGAAUGUUUUAAGAAUAUAUUCAUGAAAAAUUAAUCAAAUUUUAAAAGCAUAGAUCAAACUAAUUUUCAAUGGAUCAAAAAGUUACGUGGAUUCUUUUUAAUGGAUCAAUUUUUUUUUUUUUUUUUAAAUAUUUUUAAUUUUUUUUUAAAAAAAUUAAAAUAAAAAUAAAAAAUGAUGUGGCCCUCUAAUAAGCUGCUACGUGGCAAAACUAUUUUUAAAAACCAUCUGUUAAAAAGUAAUGGCAUGGAUGAGCCGAUUUUGUAACGGCGAUGAAUGAAUGAGCUCAACUUUUAACGGAUGGCAUAAAUGAGUCAUUUCUGAUAGUUCAGUGACAUAUUUGAGCCUUUUUCCCUUUAUAAUAUAAAGACAUCUUCAAGCCUUGUUAUGAUCCAGUCACAACCGCAGUAGUAGAAGCCCUAUUUACAUCCUGCAGAGAAACUAAUAUAAUACACACUCGGGUGAACAGACAAAGAUUUCACCCGCCUAACUGAUAAUACUCCAUUCAUAUCCACAUACAAAAUGUCACGAAGUGACUCUGGUGGAGUCCAAAACAAUGUAGUAGUAGAGGUUGUACUAAGUAAUCUAACUAAUCAGUCAGCUAACUUAUUCUGCUCUCUGAAUGAGUGAGCAAGAUUAAUUUCACUGCUCGAACUUGUAACCUAUGAAUAACAUGUAAUAACAUUAAGAACCACAUACAAGGAAAAAUAAAUAAUUAAUCUUGCACACAAACAAAUAGAACAUUAUGAGAAAAGAGUAAAUAAUUUUAAAAAAAUAAAAGAACAACUAUUUACCUCAAGGUUUCUCCUGCAUAUUUGGGAUCCAUAUUUCUUGGUAAAAGUUGAAUCUUUUUCUACAAAACCUUAGUGGUUGUAAAUUACAAAAAAAAAAAAAAGGAGAUUUUGCUAAACUAUAUUAUAAAAAUAGAUAUUAUAUAUGCACAAUUAGGCAGUUCAAAAUAGUACCUUAAAUUGAUGUUUAAGUCAGUUUUGGCUCCUUAAAUAAAUAUUUUUUAGUUGUUUAAUUUAACUGUGAAAAAAGUUUUGGAGAAACACCAAAAUAAUUUCCUCAAAUCCCAUUAAUAUAAAAAACUACAACAAACCUUAUAAAUAGAUUGAAAAUAGCAGAAAUAGACACAAAAAAAAAAAUAUCAAGAAAAUUUAAAAAAUUACUUUUAAAUAUUAGUUCUCGUGAAAUUAUGUUUCACAAUUCUCGUUAAAUGUAACAACUAAAAUUAGCUCAAGAAUUAUAACCAAAAAUACUGUUUUUUGACAAACUUUAAGGACAAAUUUAGAAUUUAUUAAUAAUUAAGGGACCAAAAAUGCAAUCUUUUUAAGUCUAUGAUGAGUUAUUGUUUGUUUCUUGAUUGAUCUAUCUGAUUGGCUCUUUCAGAUUUCAACUCCAAGCUUUUGUUCAUCAUCAUUUUCAUAAGGUACAUUUUUUAUUUGUAUUUUAUCUAUUUUAUUUAUGUCAAUUUCAGUUAAUUAAUUGGAUUAUUAUAGUAUUGAGUAAUGUUGCUCGAACUCUUCAAAAAUGUCAACGUAUACGUGUCAGAUUCUCCUAAAAGUAACAUAUUUUUGGAGAAUUCGACACAGGUGCAACAUUGAAAAUGUUGAUUUUUUGGAUGAGAGAAAUGUAAAAUGCCAAAUAUUUGAUUUUUUUUUCUGUAUUUAAAGGUUGAAUCUUGAAUUUUGGGAAAAAAAAGGUUGAAUUUUUGGGUGUUUGUGUUGCUAUGAAAGAAAGUAUAAGUACGUAAGCAAAAAAUAUUAUCCUAAAAUUGUUUAUGUAUAAUUUAGAUAAAUACUAUGGAGUAAUGUCAAUGUAUGCGUGUAAGAUUCUCCUAAAAGUAACAUACUUUUUGGAGAAUUCGACACGAAUGCAGCAUCGAAAAUGAAUGAUUCUAUGCAACUAUGUUUGACUUUUUGGAUGAAAGAAAUGUGAAAUGUCAAAUCUUGGAUUUUCAAGAACUUUUUUUUUCUGUAUAUAAAGGUUGAAUCUUGAAUUUUUGGGUGUUUGUGUUGCUAUGAAAGAAAGUAUAAGUACGUAAGCAAAAAAUAUUAUCCUAAAAAUUAUAAUGUAUAAUUUAGAUAAGUACUAUGGAAGGUGAGGUAGCUUCCCCGGACACCCUUGUGGUGGGGCCCUUCCCCGGACACCGCGCAUAGCGGUAACUUUAGUACACCGGGCUGCCCUUUACUAUGGAAGGUGAGGUGGAAGAUAAGGUGUGUUGGAGGGCGGGGAGGAUAAUUAAUGUGAAAUGUCACUUGUUUAACUGUUUUUUCCUAAUGCGUGUGAAAUGCUGGCCUAGACACCACGGUUAUCAAAACGGAAAAUGAAUGUGUCGUAGAGAUAAAGGUUUGAGUCUUGUGAAAUUUAUGUCAAUUUCAGUUAAGUGAUUGGAUUAUAAUUUUGGGGUUUUUUGAUUUAUUGGAUGAGAGGAAUGUGAAAUGCCAAAUCUUGAAUUUUGAUUAAAAAAGGUUUGAGUCUUUUUAGUUUUAAUGAGAGGAAUGAGAAAUGUUAAUUGUGGAUUUCAAUGUAUGUAUUUUAGAUAUAAAGGUUGAGUCUUCUCAUCUAUCCUAGUGGUUUGUGGACAGAGUUAUUUGAUACCUGUUGUUGCUGGUCCGAGGUGACAGGCAUCCCGUGGAAUUAGUCAAGGUAUUCAAAAGCUGACCGGGAGCCUUGGAGUAACUUGUAAAGUUGCUGCCAUGUGACCAGGAGUCACGGGUUCAAGUCUUGGAAACGGCCUCUUGCAAAAUGCAAGGUAAGGUUGCGUACAAUACACCCUUGUGGUGGGGCCCUUCCUCGUACACCGCGCAUAGCGGUAGCUUUAGUGCACCGGGCUGCUCUUUUUUACUCAAAAGCUGACCGGGACAUCACGGUUAUCAAAAAGGUUUUGUCCUUUUUAUGCUUGAGAGGACUGGGAAAUGUCAAUUGUAUUGGGUUUUUGAUGUUUUUGGAUGAGAGGAGUGUGAAAUGCAAAAUCAAGAACAAUUGUUUUUUCUACAUAAAAAGGUUGAAUCUUGAAUUUUGAGAAAAAUAAGGUUGAAUCUUUUUCCUUUCUACUUGUGGGGUUUCAAUGAAUAUGCCUUGGAGUAACUGGUAAAAUUGUUGUCAUGUGGCUAGGAGAUCAUAGGUUCAAGCCGUGGAAACAGACUCUUACAGCAAUGCAAGGUAAGGCUGCGUACAAUAGACCUUUGUGGUCCGGCUCUUUCGUGGACCCGUGCAUAGCGGGAGCUUUAGUGCACCGGUUUAACUUGAAAAUUGGAGUUUUUCAAACUGUAAUUUGGGAAUUUGAAGUUAUGUUCGGACAUGUAUUUUAUUUGGAAAAAAAGAUUGAAGUUUUGUGAGUGGAAGUCCCAGAAAUCCAAAAAUUGGUCAGAACUUGAAAAUAUUUGAAGAUAACAAAUUUCAUCUUCAAACAGAUGUUUUGAAGAUAAAUUUUCAAAAUCUGAUCCGAAAUCUAUGGCCAAACGCUAACUAAAUCUUGAAAAAAAUUCUUUCUGUGUGUGUGUGUUUUUGUGGACUGAGCUUGCUGGAACUUAUUGUUGUAGGAGUAAAAUGCUUGAAUCACUUAUCGCCUUGUUUUUCCGAGUCAUUUUAUAUUUGAAUUAUUCAUUUUGAGGUCAACGUUUGAUUUGCUAUCUUCUCAUUGCUUUGUGUAUACGACUUUCAGUUAAUUGACUCGAUUAUAGUGUUAGUUCAUAGAUAAGAGGAACGAGAAAUGCUAAUUUUGGGUUCAAUGAAUGUGUUAUUGUAGAGAUAAAUGUUGAGUCUCGAAGUGCCAUAAUUUUUUUUUAUAAAAAAUGGUUGCGUCGGUCUUUGUUGUUCAUGGGAGGAAUGUGAAAUACCAAUUCUGAGUUCAAAUGAAUGUAAGGUUAGGUUGAAAAUAAUGAACUUGCUGGAAAUUGGACGUAUUUCUUCACGAGUAUACUGCUUUGCUUUUCUGGAUUGAUUAUUUAAUUAUCGUCUGCUGGAAUUUGCGAUCUUAGAUUGUGCUGGUCGUUGAGAAAUGGGAACAACAAAUUCUCUUUUUUCCUUUUGUCGUGUUUUUUGCAAAAUUAAAUUCUUUUUGUUUGUGAGAAACAUUUAAUGAUCCCGUGUUUCAGUGAAUCUGCCUACAAUGUGGGACUUAUUAUCCGUCGGAGGUUUAAAAUAUAUCUGUGGAAUCUAUACAGGUUAAAGAAAACAACGAAUUCCCAAUUUUCUUGUUUUGUUAGAGGAUAAAAGAUUUCAGAUCUGAAGGAUAUAAUCACAAUGACACUUGAGAAUGCUGAACUCACCACCGAGCAGGUAACUUCUCGCAUGAAUAACCAUCUGUCACGAAUCUACGGUUAUGCACUAAUGAGUAGGCUGUCAUUUCCACACAUUGUGACAUCCUUCUUUGUAAUGUGAAUAGUAGUGAUCAACUGUGUCGCUUACUACACAGCUCAUAUUGUGUGCUUUACUUGUUAAAGGUUUUGAGGAGGGAUAUCCCAUGGGAGACUUACAUGACCACGAAGCUGAUCAGCGGAACAGAUCUUCAGCUGUUGAGGCGUUAUGAUAAGAUGGCUGAAAGAUUCAAAUCUCAGUUGUUGGAUGAUGUAAUGUUUUCUAUCAUUUUAUUUAGCUGUGAUUUACAUUCUUUAAUUGUUCCCCAGUUCCGACAAGUGCAUCUUACUUCCACGUCCACUGGAACUUCUCCGCCAAAUCUUUCUUGUGUUUAGUUGGAUUAUUGCUUUUUAUGUCACCGGGACAAGGAGUAGGAUGCCACUAUUAUUUGGGGGAAAACGUUAAAUAUUCUCUUCAAGAGAUUGCUAAUCUUGUCUCACUAAUCAUGGUGGCAUGCACCUAAUUUAUGCGGUUGUGUGUAUAAUUUCAGUUAUCAGUUGGCGAUGACGUAUUAUUUAAAACAUGUUUAACGUUUCUAUAAGCUAUAGACUCAAUGCUUGUGGGGCAGGUAAUCGAGUUUCUGCAAUAGCUGUGAUCAAGAAAUGUCAAUGUGAUUUCAGUUUUGGUUUUCUCAAUCUACGUUGAUAAACUGGACGCAUAUUUUUUGCAGGACGGUCCAGCUUACAUCCAUGUGUUUGUUACCAUUUUACGAGACAUCUUCAAGGACGAAACUGUGGAAUAUGUUUUAGCUUUAAUUGAUGAAAUUCUUACAGGUAACUGAGGAUGUAUCUUUCACUGCAAAGACAACAAAACCAGAACUAACAACGGACAACUUCUGUCACUAAACAGUAAAAAAAUCAUUAUAAUCCUAAUAAAUGACGGAUUAGUGGUGGAUUAUCAAAAAACCGUGUUAGCUAAUAGCUAUGGGCUAUUUAACGACAUUUUAGUGGCGAAUUUUCAUGCUAAUUCAUGUUUUCUUGUAGUAUUUUUGAUCUCUUUUGAUAGAUCGACCGAUGUAUACUCUCUUUCUUGCAGCAAACCCAAGAAGAGCGAAAUUAUUCCAUGGCAGCGCUUUUUCCAAUGAAGACACUUAUGAACCCUUCCUCAGGUACUGUAAUUAAGGAUUUAUUCGAGUUUUUAUUCGCAAUUGUUAGAUAUGAGAGUGCCUGUCGUACUUUGAGCAUGUCUCCUAGAUAUUGAUUUCUUUCUCCCCGUCAACAGCGUGCUCGAUGCACUACUCCCUCGUUAUCCUAUGUCUUCACAGUUAUCGACCCAAUGCUUAGCCUAUGAGAUCACUGAGUUACUGUUCCUCACGUUUGAGAUGCAGUUAGCAGUAGUUCAUUUAUUUACAUUUGGGAAAAUGCUCUGUUUCCUCCCUGAACUAUACACGAAAUUGCUAAAACACACCCGAACUUUAGGAGGGUCCUAUUACCCCUCGGACUAAUUAAAACCGUAUUUUUGGCAACCUUAGUGCCUACGUGCUACAUACGUGGCACAUCAGUGAAUCAACACACUGAAGGUCCACGCAGGCACACGUAUGUAGCACGUAGGCACUAAGGUUGCCAAAAAUAUGGUUUUAAUUAGUCCGGGGGUAAAUAGGACCCUCCUAAAGUUCGGGUGUGUCUCAGCAAUUUCGUAUAUAGUUUAGGGUGGAAACAAUGCAUUUUCUCUUUAUAUUUUAUUUCAUUUCUGGAUGAUUCAGUAGCAAGUUAUGUGUUUGAAAUACCAGAUUUUUUGAAGGCGAAGUUCGUUCCUCUUUCUUUUGUGCUCCUUAUCCAAAAUUCGCUACUUUCCUUUUUUUAAAUCUGGUACAACACUUGGUCUUGUAUUUUCAAGUUCUCGUUAAUUUGGUAAGUUUUAACGUUGGAGAAACUAACCUAUAGUCCUCCAGGAUUUAAGUAUCCUGCAUCUAUUUAAGUGGUAAGGCUCAUAAUCAAGACUUUCUGAAUUAUGUCAAAUAGUAGGAGGCAACGUUGGGGUAUAUAACAACGUUGAUCGAACCCUACCGUGCUUCGAUCAAUUAUAUAUGUAUAUGUAUUCCAGAUCGUUUUUACUCCUGAAACUAAACCGUGGGUUCAUAUGUCAUUUGGCUGUAAAGAGAACAGGUAUAUACCUGAUGUGACAUUGAAAACGAAAAAUACAAAAACCAAACGCACAUGUAGAUAGCUAGCUCGAUAGGACAAUGAGAGUCGUAUGUUCUUUUUGAAAUUCACUGUUCUGUCUAUAUUUGCGAUAACUAUCUUCUAAAUACAGAAAAUUGUAUGUUUUCUUGCGUCAUUACAUUCUCUCUCUUUCAGAAUGAUGAGUUUAUUUCUUUCAGAUUGCUUUCGAAAGGUAAUUGGUUCAUACAAGAGAAGAGCUGUAAGAUUCUUUCGUUGAUAGUGAGGUAGUAACGUCAUUAUUCUUAUGGUGUUUUAAUCAUCUUGAGAGACUUAAGAUUAGGACGAGUUACUGGAAAACUUCCUUAUGGCUCUUCUACUCGUUUUGGUAAUUCCAGCGCCAGGCAAAGUGCUCAGAAUGGUGUUGAUGCCUCGAAUUCAAAGAGUAAACACAACUCCACUGAAGAUGUUUUGAAAAGCCUGGUCGAGUGGCUAUGCACACAGGUUCAUCUGCAUUCCUAUAUUUUGCACUUCUACUUUGUACCUCCGCUCCUGGACCCGAAUUCCCCCACACCAAAAAAGAAAAAAAGAAAAAAAAAAACGACCAGUUCAUUAGGUGCUUGCUUUAUAGACAUUUCGAGGGGAUUUUAGCAAUAGUACUUGAUAAUCUCUUUGCUACAGAAGCAGACGCGCAAAACUUGGGUGCCACUGGCAAAUAAGCAGUUGAGUAUGCACAUCUUGACAACUCAACUCGUCUCCACUGUGUAAGUUGCACGCUCCAACUUACAAAAUGAUUACCUAGACACCUCCAAAAUUCAUGUUCCACAUCAGCAUAGGGUGUCCACGAGACACAACAGCGAUGAAUUGGAGUGUUUAGUUGCUAGUUGAGAUCAAGUUGAGGUAUCUAGAUGUGCACUCUCAUAGUUGGCGUGCUUACUUGCAAGCUGAAGCCAAGUUUGAGUGUAUGUUUAUGUAUUAUACCCUCUCUUUUCGGUUGAUGUGGUAUUCUUUCUUAACUAAAGUUGAAUCACUGAAGUUAUCGGAGAAAAGGGGGGCAGAUGUGCAAUGUCGUGGGUUUAUUUCCACUUGUAGAAGCCUAAAAUUAUAUGACAAUUGUUUCAUUUCAGCUGAGAAAGCCUUCUCAUCCUAGUCGUAGCAUUCCCUCUGCAAUCAAUUGCCUUGCAACUCUGUUGAAGGAGCCUGUUGUUCGACGUUCAUUUGUUCAAGCUGAUGGAGUGAAGCUGCUCGUUCCUUUAAUUUCACCAGCAUCUACUCAGCAGUCCAUUCAGGUGCGUCUUAUAUUAGUACUGCCAACUUCGUAACUUCCGCAGUCGUGCUGGGAAGUGACUGCUGAGAUGGUUGGUUGUCAUUUCACCCCAUGUAUCAUGCAGCUCGUAAUUGUUGACAAAAAGUUCUAUGCUUCCAUCUUUGACCUGCUUACCAUACAAUGGGCCAAAUUACAACCGUUUUUAGUAAAGUGGUUUCUACCGCAAUUUUAACUAUGAUCGAUGUUCUUCUUUGAAACAGCUUCUCUACGAGACAUGUCUAUGCGUCUGGCUUCUGUCUUACUUUGAACCUGCAAUUGAGUACUUGGCUACUUCUAGGGCCCUACCUCGAUUGAUAGAAGUUGUUAAAGGUUCGACUAAGGAGAAGGUGAGCUGGUUUUGCUGCUAUUUGUUCUAAUAGCUUUUCUACUUGCUAUACUUCAUUGACGUUAAUCAUUCACUUCUCUUGAGUUAGUUUUCAGUCAUUUGCUUUCUAGGUAGCACGUUAAUAUGUUGCAUUUUCUAUCGAGAAAAUGCUCGAUUUCCUCCUUGAACUAUACGUGAAAAUGCUGAUACACACCCCAACUUAAAGGGGGUCUAUUACCCCCUGACUAAUUAAAAUCAUAUUUUUGACAACCUUAGUGCCUAUGUGGCACAUACGUGGACGUUCAGUGUGUUGGUACACGUAUGCGCCACGUAUGUUCCAUGUAUGUGCCACAUAGGCACCAAGGUUCCCAAAAAUACGGUUUUAAUUAGUUCGGGGGCUAAUAGGACCCUCCUAAAGUUCGGGUGUGUCUCAGCAAUUUCUUGUAUAGUUUAGGGUGAAAACUGAGCAUUUUCUCUUUUCUAUCUAUCCAUCUAUGAACUGUCUUCGACUAAUCAUCAUUCACGGCAUUCUGAUGUCUCAAUGACUACAGGUAGUCAGAGUUAUCAUCUUGACUCUUCGGAAUUUGCUUGUCAAAGGGACGUUCGGCGCUCAAAUGGUAGACCUGGAUGUGCUGCAACAUGUACAGAACUUGAAAGCGCAGGCUUGGAGUGAUGAGGUGAAUGGAACAAUUUUGUGCUUUUCCAUUCGAUACAGUAUCUUAAUUUAGUUUCUUGAUAUCAAAUGCAAAUUGAAAGAAGUUCCGAAUUGGAUGCGAGCGCUUGUUGUAUCCCAUACAAAUUAAUCAUGUGCCAGGAACCAGAUUUGAACUGGUGACACGAGGAUUUUCAGUCCUCUGCUCUACCAACUGAGCUAUCCCGGCUAUUCCCAAUCCAGAUUUUUUAUCAAGGUUGGGACUGGUAACCCGAGGAUUUUCAGGGCUAUACCAAUCCCAAUUGGAACCUCGAACAUGAGAAUUUUAAGUCCCCGUUAACAGGAGGAUUUAGAGUCCUCUGGUCUUCCCCAUUGGAACCGUUCGUUAACAUGAGGAUUUUUAGUUCUCUGCUUGUUACUCAGUUCUCUGCUUGUUACUCUAAUUUUAUCUUAACAAAUUUGAUCUUAACACAUAAACGGGUCUUUGUCAAUAGGUCUUUGUCAAUUAAAAGGACAAAAGUCGAUUAAAAAAUUUUAUCAAAGCCGGGG
rnacentral:lncRNA from 1 species